CAAUCACACGUUUAUACCGUUGCUAAUGCCAACAAUCACAUUUGCUAAUUGCUAUAGCCUAUACCAUUCAUAUGGGUAGCCCAGGCUUGUAUUCACUAGACAGUGCACCAGAAAACAAUCACACAGCCCGUCUAGGCGCCAUAGGUGAUUGCUCAAUCGAAACUGACUCAGGCAUGUUAUACUGAUAUAUACAAACAAAUUACCCCUCUGAAGCUAAAUAAACUCUGGUUUGUCUCAAACUCUUGAGCAACUGAACAAAUCCAGAAGACACAUAACUUGGAGAACGAGACGCCCCCAAAUCCCCCGUCCCAGCUAACCUAAUCAAAGAUUUCACAUGUUUAUUCGGCUCCCACAUCGUACUAACCAUCCCACGAUGAAACAACCCAAGCACCCCUUUCAAGUCACUCCUACUCGGUUAGAUCAGAUUACGGGGAGCACGGCCGCCGCCGGUGAUGCAAGGAAUAACAGUCGGACGAUCUGCCCCACCCGCAGCAUAUCCCUCAACAAGGCAAGGCAACCCAGGCAGGCGAAUCCGAUCCCGAGUGAGGCAGGGGCACCCACCUUCUGCUUGACGAGGGGGCUCUUGUUGUCGAGGCGCUUGAGGACGAAGUCGGCGACCUCCUUGACGAUGCUGGCGUCGGAGGCGCGCAGGAGCUCGCAGAUCUCCUCGAGCUUGUAGACGGGCGCGACCUUGUCGUCGUCCGCAGUGACGCCGUCCACCAUCCGCGAGCGCCAGUACGACUCCACCGCCCGCCGGCUCUGAUCCAUGGCUGCUGCCCCGAUCGGAGGGAGACCGAACCCACCACGGUCGCGGACGGAUCGGAGGGCGGGAUCUGGGAUGGGGAUGGCGAGGGGUGGGGGGCGUGGACCGGGUCCGCUCGUCGACGAGGAGAGGUGUGGUGGGAGGGUUGGGGCUGGGGGUGAGCGGUACGUGCCGUGCCGCCGGAGGAACGAGGGAGGCGGCAGCCUAGGCAGGGAGGAGGUGGACCGUGGAAGGUUCUAGAGGAUGGCGCGCGGGUCUGCCUGCCUCUUUUUUUUUUUUUUUUUUUUUGCCUUUUGCCACUCUUGUGCCUUCGCAACCAACAACCGUUUCGCUUUCUUCCCACUCCCACGGGAGGAACGAGCUGGAACCUGGAAUAUACAGUAGGUGUAGCGUAAAGUCUGAGCUCUGCUCUUCCUCAUCCGAUUCGAAUCCCUGCUGCUAUCUCUUACAUCUCUUACAGAGCUUCAGGUCAAAAACAAUGUUGCUAAGCUACAAGGCGAUCAAAAUUAAUGUAGUACAUCAAUCAUUUUAUCUAUAUCAGUACACAGCAGCCUCUUGGAUCUCAUCGGCUUCAUCAACUACCAGCUCGUCCUUGAACAGGACCUUCAGGUGUGGUAGAACCUUAGGCACAACUGGAAGAUCCGCAAGGUUUACACUCAUCAGGUCAAAGGCAAUGCAGGUUUUCUCCAUAUCGACCUCAUCGAUAACUGGGAUUUUUGGGUAUCGCUGGCUGAAGUGGGUCAGAAUUAUCCGGUAUGCUCCAGCCGAUGUGCCGACUUCUAUGGCCUCCUUGGUUGUACUAUGGUUCCGCGCGAUCGCUUCGUCCUUCAUACUGUCCUCAAAUGUUGCCUGACAAAAAUAGAGUAUUACAAAGACAGUUAAGAGCAUAUUAAUAUAGGGGGUGUUUAGUUCGUGGGCGAAAAAAUUUGGGUGUCACAUCAGAUGUUUGACCGGAUGUCAGAAGGGAGUAUAUCAGCAAGAAAUAAGAUAUGGAUAUCUCAAGGACAAAACUACAAAAAAAUCUUCAGCUUACCUCAUGUAUUAGCACUGUGGCAUCUCUGGAUGCAUCUAUAAGAGCUGGACAGGGUCGGGUGUCGCCAGAAUAUACAACCUUCCAGCCUGGAAUUACCUUUCCAGCGCUGUUUGUUUUCUCCAUGGCCCUGAAAACAACUCCGAAUGCCUGUGGACAGUGUAGCACAGGGACACUAUACAGAAUCUCUAAACCUGAUUCCUGUAGAACUUCUUUGAAAUUAGCUAGAGCUGUGGUAUCCCUUGGACUUGCAGGCUUCCUGUUGUAGUUCUCCAUUCUACUUCCAGGGGCAAACAUUGUGUUCUCCAGUUGAGGUAUGGCUGAUUCACUAUCAUUUUCACUGAGGAAGGCCUCAACACUAGAUUUCAAAGUAUGCCUGCAGUCUAGGAACUGCAUGUCAAGAUCUUCAAGCGUUGAAUAUGCAUUUAGGAAUCUCUCAAGUGGUCUUGGUCCAAUCACAAGCAAGGGUUUAUGAGGCAUCCCCUUUAACAAUUUAGACCUUAGAGCAAGAAUUCUAGCCAACCCUGUGUGGUGAUCAGCAUGAAUAUGGGAAAUCCAAAUACACCUCAAACCUUUUACAGCUUCAUCAGCACCAUUUACACCAAAUCUAUUACAAAAGACAGUAUACUUUCAUGAACAUAAUUAAUAUAUAGGUUGCAUUAUUAGAAGAUCUGCAAGAACUAACCUCCUUUUGAGUUGUCCUAAAGUUCCUUCACCGCAGUCCAGAAGUAUACCUCCUCGUGCAAAUAAUUUAAUAUAUAUGGAACUUACGUUCCGGUAUUUUGAAGGCUGAGAUGAACCUGUACCCAAAAAAGUGAUCUCCAUAUCUUCCCUUGUUGCAUCCUCCACACAACAAGGGGUCUCCUGAUUGUCCCUUGGAUGCUUUCUCCAGACAAUUUCUUGAAAAGGAGUGCCAUCAUCUAGCUUAUCUGAUAUUUGAUUGAUCCAUGGUUCUUCAACCAUACGAUUGCCAGUUGGUGGUAGUGUAUUUUUAUCAUUCACAUUAUUUUGCCAGAAUUUGCGAACCUGUUCAGGAACUUCACUAACCUCUGGGAUCUCAGAUAGAAGCUCUUGUAUAAUAUCCUUGUAGGUGAACAAGUUAGGAAUAGAAGCUCUAUCCAAACCCAGUUGAGCAUAUGGACGCAGAUGAAACUGAAGAAAAAGGAUAGUAAUAUUCAGUCCUAUAUUGCACUUAACCAAAUUAAGUUAAACUUAAACAACACACCCAUAUUUAUUCCCUUAGUUUCUUUUUACAUUCCUCUCUGAAAGAAGAGUCUUCCCCUACAGCCCUACUUGUAUGUUAUUAUACAUCAUUAUUAGAAUGUAAAGGGCAUUACAUGCUGGGAGUUGACUUUGAAAUUUAUUUAGUGCAAAACAAAAACAAGAAAACAAAGGUCUCAACUACUUCUUUGAUAAAGAACAUGCAUGCUACCAAUGAUGAUAAUGCAAAUUGUAGGUUGGUUAUAGGUUUUUAGAUUAUUCAUAUUUUCAAAUGAACACGGUUACUUGUACAACUGUACUUGAUAUAUGUUAUGUUUAAUAAAAGCCAUGCUGCACUGUACGCAGCUCCUUGUUCAUUUCAGAUUUUAGUCUGUUACCUUUUAUUGCCAGCAGUAAAACAGAAUAUUACUUUUUCCAAAAACAGAGAAGUGAGAUUUCAAAGCAGCCAACAUUGUUCAAAUUGUUUCUCGUGCAAGAGCAGUAUUUUGUUUUAUAAUUUAGAUUGGUCAUGAGUGGUCUUGAAAAGCUUUCCUCCAAUCAGUUAUUAUUUCUGUUCCCCAGUUAUUUUUUCCUACAUAUUUCUGGUUGUUCAAUUUUGUCAAAGUUUCAGCCAAAAGGUUGUUAAUGCUAAGGAAGAGAUGGUUGACUUGUUUCUGUGUGCCAUAUUGGUGUUGAUAAGAAAUUCAGUGUUUCCUUAAUGGAAUUGAUUGCCAUGAAUUUGUAGGUCGGGCUUGAUGAGGAACACUAUUGCCUCCUUCAUCUCCAAGCUCACCUUCCGCGAGAUGUACAUCGUACUGCGCCACCAGAGCGGGUCACACCAGGCCCAAGGUGAGCAGCCUAUUUCAUCUACUUUUCUGAGACUAUAAGAGAGGAACCAAACAAUUUACCAAUGUGCAGGUCACCAAUCUCUGUGAUUUAGAAGAGGACAACACGUUACCUCUUGCUGCAAUCUUGAAUGAGUAAACGACAUGUUCACGAUCCAUCAGAGUUGCUUCAACCCUUAUUUAACAAAAAGCAUCAACUGAACCACCAAAAACAAAGUUGUACGCUAAUUUUCGAGAAAUUUGCUUUACUACCAUCAACUCAGCAGCAAGCUUUUUGUUGUCAAUUUCCAGAGAUUAGUUUAUGAUAGCCUUUCUUCUUUAUCAUACUAAUUUAUUUUAGAAUUUUUUUAUGACCAACAUGUGAUUGAUAAAGGGAAUUCUGUUGAUAACCUGAUUUUUCAACAGUCAACACCAUCUUCAUUUAUAUGUUCAGAGAAUAAAUUUUGUUCACUUUAGCUGAUAGCUCAUUUCACGUGUUGUUCUGGUGGUAAAUUUACUAAGCAUGUAUCCUUGUUGGUAUUUUAUAUUGAUAGGAAAAUUUGAUAGCUCGGCUGGCCUCCGGAACAAGUGUGAUGCUUUAUCUCCCAUGCUUCCGCAGAUCAGUAGUGCACUCUGUGAAACAGAUGCAGUUUUAUCUGCUCGCGGAGGCGGCCAAUAUUUCAGAUCCUCUAAUCCUCGAUGCCUUUAGUGUUUGUGAGGUUUCUAGGUAAGGAUUCCACUGGCUUGUUUUUUCCUUCUUCUCUUAGAGUAGUUCCUUUGGGUCUUUGCCUAAUAGCUAAUGCCUUUAGUCGGAUUCAGUUAUUGCAAUAAUAAUUUUGUCAAUUAGCAACUACUCUGAGCUAAAGAAUCAUGGCCAAGAGUUAAAUCGGUAAUUUUGAUGUUGUAAAUCUAGAGAUGCAACAUGAUUUCCAUCAGGGACCUGUUGCCUCUCAUUUGUGCAGCCACUGUUCUGUUUUUUUUUCUUCUUCUGUACUUCAUUCUGAUUUUUGUUCUGCACCUGUCGCCUCUCUCAUUUAUGCAGCCACCUAUGUUUUUCCCGUGUAUCGGUGACCUGUAGUUUUGUACUAAGGUGAGCAGGAUAUAACCAAUGAUGUGGCUUCUAGCCUACAACCCAAUGUUACUUGGUUUUGGAGAUCCAUGGCUGAUAACUAAGUGCAGUUUUCAUUUCAAAAUUUACUGCACAAAAGGCAACAUUGCCUUUGAUAGAACUGUACAAAUAGAAGGUCAGGAGUCCUCCAAUUUUUUGUUUAUGUUCUUUGGAGAUCAGUCUAAUAAGAAGUACUUAGGUGUCCUGCACCUUUUGGGCAUGACAUUAAAUUUAACUUAACUCCUGUCUGCUGCUUGAAUAUUGAAAAUCUACUGACAUGCCUACUUGCUAUGAGCCUUGUAACAAACAACAUGAGGUUUGCAUCUGAGCAUGGUGCUUAUAUUCGCAAACUUCUUCAUGUUUAUUUAAUAACCGAAGAUUGGCAAUUAGUAUGCUUUAAUUUAUAACAAAGUUUGUUAUCGUUGUGUGUUAAAAGGUUUUAACUAUCACUUGUUGUUUCGUUGAGGCAUGAUAUUAGUUUUUUUCAUUAGCACCAAUAAUUGUAAUGUCUCUACAAUCCAUUGUUGUACCGUAGCAACGCACGGGCACCUAACUAGUGAUGAUAAAACAUCCAAACAAUUUUGAAGUCCCAAUUGGACCUACGCAUUCUACCAUCCCAGUCUUAAUGGUUUGCUGAAUAACAAGAAUUCAAUAAAAAAAUUACAUCAAAGCCCCAAUCAGAACACCAGAUUAAUACAUAUAUGAUCACAUAACAGGUGUGAUACAGCAAGGAUGAAAGAACAAAAUUACCUUUAGUAGGUUUUGCGCAGACACACUUCCGCAGGCUUCCAAUGAAGCAUUCUGAAAGGAAAACAAAAUAUUUUAUAAACAGCAGUAAUUCAACCUUCAAGGUAUUAUAUAGGCUACUGGAACCUACCUUAUCAUUCUCCAUGACAUCAUUUGGAGGUUGUAUAGACCAAAACCCAGAGGAUGGGAAGAGCUGAGGGCACACAAAAUUGAGGCGUGAUGAUAUCCUUGCACUACCUUUCAAGAUAGGAAUUUCCAUGUUUUUACUGUGUGCAUCAAAAAAUGGGGAAAAAAGGCACAAGGCCAAUCAGCCAAAAAAGCAGUGGCACAAUCUGAAAAAAACAACUUAAACAGUGGCAUACAAUGUAUUUUUCCCAUAUCAUUAUGGAAAAUUUAACCCUAAGAAGCAGCAGUCAGUAACAUAUAUGAACAUAGUCGUUUCACCUGAUUUUUAUUCAGCAACAAAGUAGUUAACUUUGGAUUUUCAUGCAGUCUCAAUCAGUUCAAACUGACAUAGGAAAUCUAUACACAGAAUGGACUUCAUCCAAAAAAAAGGAAAAUGGAAUUGAAUCGUACAUUUCAUGUCCUGCCAUGAUAUGUUGUGUUGUGCCAAAAAAUUUCAUCCAGUUCUGAUAGUCAACAGAUCUAGUCACAGAUGAUGGACCUAAGUGGAUUAUGCAAUUUACUUUCUUGCCACUUUGCUCUGGAGAAUCUUCAUAAAAGCAGCUAAGGGGUUGCAGUGAAAAAAGUUCUGGCAUAUGAUACUGUGUGGGGCAAUCCACCAGAAGAACAGUUGGUCCAGGAAUUGACGGACCAAGAACGUCACUUGGAUGAACCUAGACAUUAAUUGACAAAACAUAAAGAGCUUUAGAAAAGAAACUCAAACUAGAUAAAUGGUGCAUGCAAUUGUUGUUCAAACAUCAAACUUAUACUAAAAACUUACAUCUAUUCUAGCAUUUAAAUAAUUGUAGCGGAUUCUCAAAAGUGACACUACUAUUAAAAUUUCUGAUAAGCCUUAGUAUGUUAAAAUAGCCAUGUAAAAUUAACAAGUCCAAGGACAACUAGCAUAUGUUUCCAUAGUGUGCAGUUAGGAAAGAGGAAAUAUCUAAUGUCAUGUCAUCCCAAUGCAAUAUUAAGCUAAAAAGACUCCAAAAAUCCAACACUAGGUCAAUAAAAGCAGCAUUGGUCUCCUCGAUGGCAAAAGCCUCAUUGAAAAGAGAAGGUACUACAAAAAGAUAACAAACAUAACAAAUAUUGUUUUAUUCAGGACUAACCAUUUCAUCAAAUUGAUCAGACUGCACAGAAUUCCCAAGUUGAAGUUCACGGUACUUGGGCCCAGGCCUAAGGCCAAGGGCAGCAGCCUUAGAUGGGUCAAACUUUCCCUUAAUUUCUGGCAACUCACAGGCAUAUACUAUAGCAGUAUCACCAGGCUUCAUGUCACUAUCAUUUGAACUACCAGUUCCAUUAUGGUACCUUGGUUUGACAAACAUUGCAGAUAUCCGAACCACUUCAUCAUCAAGAAUAAUAAUGGAGUCUUUAGAUUGUGGUGAAGAAGCAUUUUGGUCAGUACCAAAGCUGUGUGUGUGAAGCAUUGCUCUAUUUGGGAUAAAAGAUCUCAUUGCCCCAGCUAAAAAGUCAAGAUCAGAAGGUCCCCAUAUGUUCACCUGUUUCCAAGUUAGCAGGAAGAAGACCACAGUUAGUUGGUUGAAACACUUUUAAUACUGGAUGCGUGAAUGCAUCUGUUGACAGCAAAAACACAGAAAAAGGAACCAUGUGAACUCACCGACAUGCCCUCAUCUCCAAUUCCUGCUAGAGUUAGCACCAGCCCUACAAUAUACCAUAGUACAAAAGGCUAUGUCAUGAUGGUGUAAUAUCAUUACAUCAAGCAGACCAAACUAAUUGUGUUAGAUGGUAAAGAAGAAGGUUAUAGAAACAAUACCUGGAAGGCCCCCUGCAGUUUCUGAGCAUACACGAGUCAAAAAGAUAUGGUCAAUCUGGGAAACAAGGGAUUGUGUCAUAAGCAAGUUAGCAUUUUACAAUAUAAGACUAGGAUGUAAGAAAUUCAAAAACAGGACAAUGAAUGUGAGUGUAUUGUGCAUGGUGGAGGGGGUUCAAAUAACAUACCUUUGAUAGUUUUAUCUUGUGUUCAGUACAGAAACGUUGAAGACCCUGUCAGAUGGCAAGAUUUGAGUUUAAUCAGCAAAAAAAUGGUAAAAGCAAGAUGAACUUUGUCCAGAUCUUUAAGUUGAAUCUUAUAUUCGCUGCAGCUCAGCAUAAGACCAUGGUUUUCAAAAUCCUUUCUGCAAUACCUCAAAAAAGAGAAAAAAAAUCUCUUUUCAGCUAAUUACAAUUAUUUGCUAUUUUUCAGGCAACAACCAAUUAUUAGCUAGUUCGAAAAGUACACGGGAACCAGAUCAGAGUAGAAUACCUCGCCCGCAUUAAAAAUAAACCUUUGUUUGUCAAAGAAGAGUAAAAUAGAAGGUGAAGUGUCCUGUGUGUCCAUUCCUGUACCAAGUAUCUGCACAGCAGGAUCGAAGGGGUGUUAGAAUGAAUGAAAACCAAAACAACAGCAGUUCCCAUUCUGAUGAACUAGUUCAAGGUUAGAAAUUGCCCUGCACUAAUUGUUUGGUGCAACUAAUGCAGUGAUUUACUGAUGGGACAGCUCCAUAAGGCCACAACCAGCAGCUGGGGUUACUGAGUGCAUGAUUUACAAAUUAUUACAAUAUAAUAUCAGAGAUUAUGCUGGACUUUUAUGGUUAUUAGUGACUGAGUGCAUACCUUCAUUUCCUGAAAUCCACACAAUUCAACAGAUUAUGAUUUAAAUAAUGAUAGUUGUUUAAAAAAAGGUUAAAUACUAGAAGGCUUAUGGUUUGGAUUCUUUGUAUGCUACAUCUACUCCUCCAUGCCAUCAGUUUGGGAUUGCAUGUUGGUAAAAAUGUUGGGGUAACACACGCAAAUGUGACCUUUGUAACUACUAAUCCACGGUAUUUAUAACUGAACGCAUGGUCCGGUCCAAUCUCUCCUCAAAUAAACCCCAAACUAGUACUUAUUACUAAUAUGAACGGUAAAAUGGCGCGCAGAAUGAAUCCACAGACAUGGCGUUAGGCGGAAACCACAGGUCAGCGAGGCCCUCACCUGCACGUAGCAAGUUGUGUUGACGGGGUUCAGCCUGCGGGUCUUGAGCUCCAUGCUCCCGCGCUUCGCCCCGUCCUUCCCCUCGGCCCGCUUCCUGUUGAACGCCACCUCCUUGUCCAUCUCCUCCUUGGCGGGCGCCUUCCCGAGCGUGCUGCUCCCGCGGCGAGGUUCGGGGUGCCGGCUGCGGCGGUAGGCGAGGGCACGGAGGCUGGCGGCGCGGCGGAAUGAGGCGGGGGAGCAAAAGGAGAGGAGGCGGCGCGAGAGGUGGAGGAGAGGCGCGGGGGGCGCUAGGGUUUGGGAGAGGGGGAGGAGGAGGCGGAGAGGGGCGGCCACCUGCGGCAUGGCUCGCGCGUGCUACAGAGGUGUGCCUGUUUUAUUUCGGCGGCGGCGGGCGGGGGUUUUUGGGGCCGCGACCGAGAGGCCACCGCGGCACCAACCGGUCGGCCCGGGCAAGGAACACGCGUGGUUUAUAUUUGAGAAAUUUGAGAAAAUGCCACGCUUUUUUUUUUACUUUGCCUCAAGAGCACAACGUCUUUCUUUAACACCUUGACAGAACACCAUUUUUUUAUAUUUUAAAUCACGUUUUCAAUUCAGGCCCACAUGUCACAUUUUUUUUAUCAUAAUUCACUCUUCUAAUCUCUCCUGUGAUGGGUUUCUGGAUCGUUCGGAGAGAGACGAACACGAACAUGGGGAGAACAAGGGACUGGAGUCAGUUAGUCGGGGCUGCCACCGCCGCCGGACGAGGCCACUGCUGCCCUCCCCAUAAACCAGAGACCAGAUGAGUCAGCCACCAUCCUCCUCAACGAGCCUCAUCAGGCCCACACUGCUCUGCUAUGUCGAUGUGUUGUAGGCUCUGCUGCAUGCUUGUUGUACCUCAUGGUGCCAUGUACGAUUCAUGAUUUACAUGCCAUCUAAUUAACGUCAAUUGAUCGACCAUAUACAGGCUGUUGCUUACUUGCUGCUUGCUUGCGUUGUCCGCUGUUGGUUGCUUGUUUGCUGGAGAAACCUGGAUGGCGGAGAGAAACGGCGUGGCUGUCUCGUCCGGCGCCAGGCGGUGGCGGCCUCGUCCCCUUGUUCUGCUGUUCGUUGGAUACCAGAAGAUGGAUGGAUCGAUCUAAAUCAGCAGUGGUGAUUUGGUCCAGAAAAUCAUGACAUAUGUGUCUGGAUUGGAAUAGUGAUUUAAAAAAAAUGGUAUUUAUCAAGGUGUCAAAGAAAGAUGUGCUAUUUUGUCUAAGGCAACGAAAGGUGUGCAUUUGAGGCAAAGUACUGAGAAAGACGUGGCAUUUUGUAAAAAAAAAAACUUUAUAUUUCCCUUUUUCUUUUUCUUGUCUCCCUUAAUUUCUUUUACCUCUUGUAAGCUCUCGUUUUCCAUCCCAUGCAAACCUCCAUUAGGUCAGUUUUUCAUCCCAUCAAACCUCGAUCUAUAGAAGUCCUCAUGGACUGCAAUCAAUCGUUCCAGGCUGUCUUGAAAAGCACGAUGGCUCGAUCCAAUGACCUUAACGCUAGCGUCACUUCCACAUAAUUCGACAGAAACCACCAAACGGUCUGAUCCUGUUGUGCCAUUUCAACCUAGGUCUUGUUUAUUUGGACAGUCUGGACGCGUGUUGUAUGUAUUUUACAAAAGAGGUAAAAACACCAGCGGUACAAGAAUUUGUAUCGCGCGAGCAAUUUAGUAUAACAACUUGCAAAAUGAGGUCAGGUGGUACAAAACUUGUGGGUGCAUUUUUGGUCAGAUUAGUCCGAAAUUAGCCACGUCAGCGUCACGUGGAGCCCAUACCAGUUUUGUAUAUUUGCGUAUAAACCCUUCGCAAUGUUAGUUAGGUCCCUACGUUUCUCAGGCAAGUUGUAUUUUUGCAAAAAAAAAACACCCUCUAAGAUUACUUAUUUUUCUCGUUUCGCUUCCUGCCCCUUCGAUUGCUUCCUCUGCCCCUUCAUCUCUCUUCCCCGCGCACGAACCGAACCGCUCCAUCUUCCACCACCGACCUCGAGGUUGUUGCGGGCAAUCACUACGGAAGCGGCAGCGGCGGCGGUGCGGCGGCGACAGGACAUAGGGUUAGGGGAUUUGAUUCGUAUGCGUUAAUCACGGGGGCUUUCCGUAAAAUGAAGAAGUCAUCUGGUGCGUGCCAAAUCCAGCGUGGGCAAAAGUGAACCGCAAGUCAAGUUUCGGUACCACCUGGCCCCAUUUGUAAGUUGUUGUACUAAACUGCUCGCGCGAUCUCUGCCCAUUGUUUCGCGAGAGGACGAGCGUGGCUCGUGGUCCAAGGAGCUCUCGUCUGUCUAGAGUCGCAUUGUUCGGGGUAGGCUACUCGAGUCGACGAGCGGAAGGAUGAACACGGAUGCACAGACUGGGGGAGCAUUAUCUUCUGGAGUAUACAAAAAUGGCUAAACCCAAUUGCCAACGGAAAAUGAACCGGAGACGGAUCGACUUAAUUAGUUGGUAAAAAGAAAAUCGAACUCAGUCGCAUCGGCUCACAAAUUAAAUCCUAUAUGGCCACUCCCAGUGCAUCGUCUUUUAGGUGUUGUGUCCUAACCCACAAUAAAUGCUAAGAAAUUAUAUCUCCAAUGCAUUGUCUAUUAAAGUAGUAGCUAUUUAAUAGCUUUGUGAGAAAAAAAUUAAUGACUUUGUGUUGAUUUGCGUGAAGAGACGGUCCCUGGCAUAAGAGACAAUUUUAUCAUUAAUAGAUUGUCAUGUCAGCAAAAUGCCCAAGAUGAUAUGUUAAGAGACAAGCAUUGGGAGUGGCCUACCAUGUCCGUCGAUCACCAGUUUGCCACAACGACCAACUUCGUGCUCUUCCUAGACAUUGUAAACUCUUUUAUACUCACUCUGAUCCUAAAUUGUUGACUCAAAUUUGCUCAAAUGAAUGUAUUUAUUUUUGAAAAGCAUUUAGAUACAUGUAAUAUUUUGAUAAUAAUUUAGAAUCGGAGGGAGUAGUUUUAUUUACUACCUCGAUCCGGCUUCAACAACAAGGGCGUUGCCGUAAUCGAAGCAACUUCCGAGACACAUUUUCAGCCUAUCUGACCUGCUCUAAUCGGCUGAUUAGCUUUGAGAAUACACCUCGAUUCACAUCUUUGAGACACCUGCAUUGACAUCUUUGUUGGUUGCCCCAUUGUUUCGUGCGUCGACGUGAAAGACUGGGACGGCCCAGACAGCAGCAGGUUGCUAGGCCUAAUUAGCUAGCUGCAACCAAAUAGGCCUAACCCUGGCCUCCAACAACCACGUCCACAACUACGUUUGCAAUUAGGCACCACGAAACCCGCUGCGAUUAAUCCAUCAUAUGCACGCAACGACGCGCGCCACACGGAGAAAAACCAAUCUCACAGGAAGAAGUACCGAAGAAGAAUACAACGAGAACGAUAGUAGCCGGAAAGAAAACAAAAGAGAAGAAGAAGGAAAUUCUGGCUUCAGGUUUUCUAACCUAUUAAACUCCCUGUCGCCUGCAGGGUAUAGGGCCGAUAGCGCUUAGUUAAGUACUCCGUAUGAUCUCCAACAGCCGACCGCAUGCCACGUACCCGCUGAACAUGCCGGCCUCGUUGCGAUUAGGGUCCUAUAAAUUAGGGCGACGGUCGACAGGGCGCGGAAUAAUCGUCGAGAUAUCCAAAUGGCACUUUCUUGGUGGACUUGCAAUCCAAGGAUCGAUUACGUACUCCGGCUGGUUUUUAGUUAGUUAGGGUUUCGAAAUCCCCUAGAAAAGCCAAAGGAUAGGAUAGAACAUUCAGAACGUACUGCGAAGAGCGCACCAAACGUCUUUAAAAUCAACCAAGUGCAAUAUUUUGGGGGAAGAUCGAUCAACAGAGACACAUACUUAGCACAAGCUAAGGGUUUACUUUGUGUUUUUUCUUCUUCUUCUGAGCUUCCUCAUUAAAAAUCUUGCAAGUGCUAAACGACAGGGCUCCGUCUCUGCUCACGAGUCGCAAAAAUCUGGGCGUCCACCACGUACGUCCAUUUUCUGACCGGCCAACAACACACCCACGGUUCCGUUUCCUUGUCUUCGUUUCUUGUGGGUGUGGUUUUAGCGUUUUUGCACGGCACUACGGCAGGCAGCGCCGGUUCGGCAGCCUGGUGCUCCACACGUUCAUUUUCAUUUUGAGCCCGGAGCUGGAAGGGAUCAAAUAAAGAAUGGUUUGACCAGCCGGAGGCCGGUUUGUCUUGAUCGGCAUAAGCUAGCUAAGCGAAUUCAAGCCGGUAAGACUUCUUAGCUGACACUAGCAUGGGCUUCACAUUUGAUUUAAAUAUUUGUAGCGUGUUUACAGUCUGUAGCCCACCACUAUCAUCUACCGCUAUAUAGUUCAGCACCCCGAAAAGCUAUUCGUCUAUGCCUAGACGCCAGCCUUCCCUGUCCUACGACUAAGGGCCGGUGGGCGUUCUGUCCGGAGCCUAGACCAAAAAUUCGGUCUAUUUCAAAUUCAAAAAUUCAAAAAUGAAGAACGAAAUAUACUUGUUAAUUUGACUACCAUAAAAUUUAGGUUUGGUUCAGUACUCAUGACUGAAUAGUGUAGUAGUUGUUGUUUAUUGCCGAAAACUUGAACAAUAGUAUCCAAUAAAAAUUCGAAAAACUAGCUGAGUUGGAGACGUGAUUUUCAGUUCCAAAUAUGGACUCUCAUUGCAUGAGUGCUCGCAACUUGAAGACGUUGUCGGGUGACGCGCCAUCCAUGCAUGCUGCCAUGCAGUUGUCGCCCCUUGCCGGCUUGUUAUGUCGCUGCCACUUCAAACCCGACCGUUGAUGGGUAGUCAUGCGCCUUGGACUUGAAGAACAACAACCGGUGUCAGAAAAGCAGGCGUGGUGGCGGAAGGUGGCCUGCGGACGGGCAAGCGGCGUAGUGAUAGAAGGUGGCUGACCACUAGGGUUAGGGAGUCGUGAUAUUGCAUCCCUACAAGGGAAGGGAAUCUGGGUCGGGGAUUAGGAGUUUACAAACCCGAACUAGUCGAUUGGGUUUAGGUGAGUCGGGAUUCGGGGAAGAGACGUUGGGGUAGCGGGGCUGGGCCGCUAGACGCCUCGCUUGGGCAGUCGCUUGUUCGGUCAAUUCUGUUUGUUCAUGUUACCAAGAAAUGAUACCCGAAUCGACCAAACUAAUUUCGGUAUGUUAAUUGUGCUACAUAACUUUUUGUUCAAUCUUUUCACUCUCGUUCUUAUCGUUUUCGGUCUUUGUUCUUUUCGGUUUAGGUUUUUAGCCAUUAGUUUUUCUACCCACCCCUGUCUACGACGGCAAACCCUCUAUUCCUACUUUGAUUCACCUUCUCGCACUCAAUCCGAAAAGAACAAAGACCGAAAACGAUAAGAACGAGAGUGAAAGGAUUGAACAAAAAGUUAAGUAGCACAAUUUACAUACCGAAAUUAGUUUGGUCGAUUCAGAUAUCAUUUCUUGGUAACAUGAACAAACAGAAUUGACCGUUGGAGCCGUUCACGCGAUAAGAUCAAUCCGCAACCGUUGGAUCGUUCGAUUUUUCCAGGCUCGUAGUAAAUAAAUUCCACAAAAAGAAAGGGGGUGGUUACACAAGAGAACCCAAAGGCCACGAGCCCACGUACUAGAAGUCGAUCACACGACAGGGUCUCGCUGUUACAUAUACCGCCCGCUAACCCCUCUCUCGCCCGCCCCCUCGCCGCCGCUACACGCACUGCCCCACUCUCAUCUUCCUUGCCUCCGAUCGCCGCAAAUGCAGGGCCACGCCGCCUCCGAGGGCGCCCUAGCCACCGCGCCGUCCAGCCCCACGCGCCGCCUCUGCUGCGGCCAAGACGUCGUUGACUGCGCCGAGGACGACGACACCGGAGGCAUCCACUUCUUCUUCAGCGCCCCGGCCAGCCCCGUGCACUACAUCCUCCGCUCGCCGCCAGCGUCGUCUUCCUCCUCCGCAGCAUCGGUACACCACGCCGAGGGAGACGGAUGCGCAGGCGACUUCGAGUUCGCGUCGGCGCGCCACCGCGUCGCCGGCACCGGCAUGAGCUCCGCCGAGGACCUCUUCCUCUCCGGCCGCAUCCGCGUCGGCGGCCUCUCGCCUAUCCGCCAAGAGACGGGCCACGGGGAGGAGGAGGAUGGCGACGACGGCGGCGGGCACUCGCGGCGGCCUCGCCGGGCCAGGUCGGCGUCGCCGCCCCGGACCCCGCGGUUCGCGGAGAACGGAUCCGCAGAGACGCCCUCCGAAUCCUUCGCGUCCUCGUCUGCGUCCUCCGCGAAGACCAUCCGGCGGAGGAUCUCGCUGCGGGACCUCCUCGGCCGCACCUGCAGCAGCGAUUUCUCGUCCUCGGCGGGUCCGGCGUUGGCUUCGGCCAUUAACUCCGGCGCCGACGCCGAGAUCAGGUCAAGCUUCUGGCUGCCGUCCAUCUGGCCGUCGCGGACCAAGAAGGGCCCCCUCCUCCCCUGCCCCUGCCCGGCGCCCCCGCAUCCUGGGCGCCGGUCCACGUCGUCGGUCAGAGCGGCUCCCGGCGGCGGCGGAGGCCAUGGACGCCAGCGCGAGGGCGCGCCGCCGCGGCGCACGACGUAUCUGCCGUACCGGCAGGGCCUGGUUCUCGGAUGCCUCGGCCUCGGGGCCCGGAGCUAUGGGCUCGCCAAUUCCAUGCACCCGCUCUCCACCCGGUGAAAAUGCGUGUGCCCACGCGGAAUUUCAUUCACAUUUCGCAUAGUUUCAGCAUGGCUUGCGUGAAAAGGUUUGACGUGCUAUUGUUCCAGAAGGGUAAAAAAUGAUAUCAGCGAUGUAAAAUUAUAAAUAUAAUUUUGCUCCACCGAUCCAAUACUUUUAUGGAAAUGUCUAUUUUAUUUAUUUGAAAGAUGUUACUACUUCGUAUAUCAAUUCAUCAUCAUAUUGUGUUGUGUAAUGAAAACUGAUCUCUGUGCUGUAUUUGCAUUCCGUUGUCCAUUUGUUCAAUUUGUGUUGUUUUGCCCCCUCUGCUCCCUGAAACGCCAGUUCUAGGGAAAAGGGCAAUACUGCAUCGAGUAAUCUAUCAAGGAGGAAGUAGGAGGCGGGGAAGGAAGAGAAGAAGGAAGAUCCGGUGGCCGGCCGGGAUCCGGGUGCAGCCAGCGGCGACACUCCAAGGGCUUUGAGGAGCUCGAUGUAGCAGCGUACUUGCUACAAUCUUGGGAACUGAUUCUUCUUAUUGGAUGUGUUGCCCUCGAAGUUCAGCGUCAUGCCAGACAGGCAUAGAACCUUCGAAGAAAUUAGACUGAAUAUUACAAAUUUUCACCGCUGCCUCACACAAAGGGUCCCCAAAUUAGACCUUUUGUUCUGUCUCUUGGACUUAUGUUCAGUGUCCAGUGCAAUCAAGAUUCAAGAUCGCGAGGAUCCGUGGUUCAGUGACUGACAUUGUACAGACUUGAUGCUUGGAGGGUCCUUUUGAUCUUAAUGCCGAGAAUUUUGCUAAAAGAACGGAAUGAUUCACAUGUAGACUAGCUAGUCAGUCACAGGCUUGAUUUCUUGGCUUCAGGAAUGAGUGUGUCCGCUGAAGGCGACGUGAUGUUUGGUGGAACGGAGAAGUGAAAAGUAGGUCAGAUAUUGCACCAAGAACGGUAGAAUUUUUUAUGAAAGGAUUGACAAUCAGUAGUUGAUUAGAUCGCAAAAUUGGUAGUAUUGGGCUACACUUCUAUACAACUCAGAGAUAGAGAGAGAGGAAAAAACACAUUCAUUGAACUUGGAACAUUGCUAGGGAGUAAACCCAAACACAAGACUUUUUUACUCAAAGAAGGCCUAAACCAUACUAUCCUAAACACUUGAUGCUCUCACCUCAUGGGAAACAGAUCUAACAGAGAUUCAGUACAUCACAAGUUUAUAUAAAUGGUCAAUCUGGAGGGUAGUUGAGCUGUUUAACUUAUGGCAUAAUAUUUUCAUCAAGAUUUAGUCUGGAGUGCCUUGCAGCAUCAUGGAAAUUAUCAAGGUUAAUGUCAAAGCAUCACUCGCAAAAUGCAACAUUCUGGUGUCCAAAUCCAUGUGACAGUAACAUAAAGCUUGGUUUGCUUUGCUUUGCUUGGAAGCAGCACAGACAAUAAGCUCUUCAACUGAAAGGGGCACACACGCUUGUCUUUAUACAGCUACGUAGAUUAGGUUCAUAUGUCCUAAUAAGGUGUGCAAAGUUGACUCUAAGUAACAGAUUACUGAGAUAAGUGAGGUAACAUCUGGACAAAUCUUAAAGCAACAAACAUAUCAUCAUCUCCAAACAUGCUUGGUUUGCCAACUGUCUUCUCUACAAUGCUGAGCUCUACAGGAAAAGGGGCUUGAACGUCUCAUUCGCAAGCUUGCACAGUCCAUUGAACACCCCAGCAUCUGCGAGAUGAGCAUGAUCCAGAGAUCAACAGUGUUAGGGGUAAAAGCAAGAAAUAAUGUUGGUUCUCUAUAAAACUGUUGCAGACAGAUAAAAAUAAGAAUAUUUAUCUUUGCAUCGCCAGCGCAAAACAAAGAUAUCUACAGAAAAAACUGAAGGCACACUAAGCUCCUAAUGAAGAUUUCUUGCUGAGUUGUUGUGAAGAAAUGCUGCAAUGGUGGGGCUACAAUAACCUUACUUCUCCGGAAUGGUAGCUUAUGAGCUAUAACUACAUUGCCCAACCAAGAUAACCAAGACUAGCUAUCCUGAAAGAAUUUAUUCAAAGAUGAUGUUCAAUCAAACUAACAAAUUAGGCACCAUUUCUGGGGCGGAACUAGAGCUUCUAAAGGUAGUUGAAGCAGAAGGAACAUAAUUAGGCAUGCACUUAUUGUCUACAGAAACUUAAUUCAGUUUUGGCAUUAGAGUUUAGAUAUAAGAACAAGCAGUUACCUGCCUUAUCUGGUGUUCUAAAAUAAAAUGAGAAGUGUAUUCAUAUAUGUCAAUCCAAACGAAAAAUAACAAAGCCAAACGCUAAGUAGGACAAAGUUCAGAAACAAGCUAGUUCAUAGAGAACUGGCAACUUUUAAUUCACGUUGUUCACCUGUUUCUCAUCAAAGGUGGUGAUGGACAAUCCCAAUAGGUAUAGCCCCUGUUACGUCUAUGGGUCACGUCUAUGGAUGUAAAAGCUAACAAACUUGAAUGUUGCGAGUUAAAACCCAUCGCAGCAGCCAGAACAUGCCAACAGUUCACAGCAUGAGUAAUGAAAAGCAAUGAAGGAUACUACAUAGGUGCAUCAAAUCUCACCAAAGUUUUCACCGAAAUCUGUGCAAACUUCAGCACGGAUGGACUGAUUGCUGUCAGCGAUCCCAAUAACCUCCAUAUAGUGUGGUGAUUCAGGGGCAUCAGUGGCACCUCUGAUGGUCAACUGAUGCCCAUCAGUGGACUGCCCGACAAGAACUCCACCUUCAUUGCGCUGGACUUGAACUACUGUGCGCACUCUUCGCCCAACAAAAAUCUUCAGGGUCUCUCCAUUGACAAAUGGUGAAGGACUUGAAGUAUCCAUCUCUGCAUGAUGUGGCAUCAGAUUUAUCAAUUCAAUUCAGCAUUACCAUCAGAUAGCAUAUAGAACAAAUAAGAUGUCCAAGUCUCCAGUCCUUCUUUCAUGCCAAGCAACCAUACGGCAGAAAGAUUAACAUAUGGUGCGCUAGCAGACCAGCAGUGUCGCAUUGUCUGCUACAUCACAGGCAUCUAUACUAUCUUAGAGUUGUGAUACUGAUAGAACAUAUAAGCAUGCUACCAAGUGUUAGGCACAUUGGGCGGGCCCAGCUCAAUUCAAGGGUAUUCCCUUGAUUUUUGCAAAAAUAUGAAUAUAUGUACUAUGUACUCUAUAUGUAUGCAUGUAUAAAGUAGUAUUUUGGGCUAAAACUCAAAAUAUUCAAGCAUUGAGCUCUAAAAUGCACUAGCCAUCUAUCUCCUUCUCCCAAGUUGGCCCAAUCAAAUGGUCUAACUAGGAUUUUAGACCUCUUAAUAUCUAACCGUCUACUGGAUACUCAUAAUCUCGUACGACCUAUGCUUGCACCUGGUGCCUCCCUGCCUCCUUUCAAAUCCCAAAACAAAGAUUUCUCAAAUCCAACAACCUAGCGACUUCUCCUUUGCUCUGCUUCGGCACUUCUGCUGUGGAACGGCUACACACGCACUAUGCAACACACAAGAUGACAACACCUCAGGGAUCACUCGAGUAGAGACGCAAAAUUUUCACCAAUGAAUUUUCGAAACAAUUUUGACCGGUGAAUAUUCUGAACAAUUUUGAAUACCCAGCGUCAAAAUCCUGGGCCCGCCGACUGGCGACAUACAUUUGGAGCAAGUUCUGAUACUGAUAAGAGAUAGCCAUGCUAGUACCAAGUCGCAUGCCUUUUGAGUGACGAGCGAGAUUACAAAGAUGCAUGCUGAUUAACCAGACAUUUGGGCAGCUAUGUCUCCAGUACGGUCGCUACAGAGGCAGAGCUACAGCAGUACAAGGGUGUAUACACGGGCGGAGGACCCGGUAGGGUAAGGUAGGGCGGCCGCCCUACCUUGAUUUUUGCCUCAGUUACGAAUUGGGGGAAGAUUAUGACGGGGAGCUAAAGGGUUCGUGGCCUCGUGGGGUGAUGGGAGGUCGGGAGCGAAAGAAUCGAAGGGGAGAUAGAUACCUGCAGUGGAGGAAGACGAGGCAGGGGUCUGGCGGCGCCCGGCAGCGGGAUGGGGAGGGAGGGGUGGCGGCGCUCGCGCGAGGAAGAUUAGCGACGUAGCGAGGGGGGCUGGGGCGCUCGGUACCGGGAUGGGCGAAAGUAUAAGUGGCCCACGGGCCCAGCAAGGCCCCUCAGGCCGAAGGUAGAAAAAGGAAAUAAAAAAAUGUUAGAUUUGGACUAGAAUUGUGAAGGUUAAUUGGUCAAAUGUAUUAAUCCUAAAAUAUAUAUAUAUGAAUGGUCCGUGCCGGCCCGGCCCGAGGGCCUGAGGUUGAAGGCCAGGCACGGCAUAGGUGGGGCCUCAGGCCGGCCCAGUCCGAUUAUUUUAUACUUUCUAUCUUUGGUGAGAAGAGUCUCGUUUGUUAUGUCACAUAUCUAAUUGAUCUUUAUUUUGUGUAAAAUCAACUCUAGCGGUUACCGAAAAAAUCGAACCGAAAAAACGCGUAUUCGGUGCACCGAAUCAGUGUUUUCGGAUCGAAAAGGACCCGUGCAGAACAGAAUCGGAAAGCUGAAACGAAAAGCCUUAGGGUUCAGUUUUCAGAUUCUGUUCUGCCGGUAGCGCAAACUGGUACUGCAAAUCGAAUUCGACAGUUCGACAAUUAAAAAUCGACAGUGGAUUCAGUUUAUACAUUUCAGACAAUAUGAAAGCAAAUUGAAUCAAAUAUGAAUGUGCAAACAUCACAUGAAAAAAACAAUAAUCCAAAUUACAUGUAAUUGUUCAGAUGCAACGAUCAAACAAAUAAACAAUGGUCCGGCAUACAAAUACAAUGUUCAAAUGUGACGAUCAAAAUAGAACAUGAAAAAUUUGGCAUUCUAUCUGCCAUACAAUUGCCACUGAUGCUCGAUGAGAUCCUGUUGAAGCUGCGUGUGCGUCUCCCUGUUCUCACUGUCCCGGUAGGUCUGAAGAAAUGCUUGGAUCCUGUCCGGGUUCCUUUGAGGGUUCACCCUUUUGCCUACAUUGUCAAUUAAAAGUGACAAAUUCAUCCCCCUCUCAUCCUCGAUGAUCAUAUUGUGCAAAAUCACACAUGCAGUCAUAAUGUUUGAGAGGGACUUCUUAUCCCAAAAAUGAGCAGGACCUCGCACAAUUGCGAAACGUGCUUGCAAAACACCGAAAGCUCUUUCAAUGUCCUUCCGGGCUGCUUCUUGUGCUUUGGCAAAAACAGUUUGCUUCUUGCCGACGGGAUUAUGGAUUGUUUUGACAAAUGUAGCCCAAUUCGGAUAUAUACCAUCAGCUAGGUAGUAUCCCAUGUUAUAUUCAUGGCCAUUGACGGUAUAAUUGCAAGCCGGAGCAUCUCUUUUUGCAAGCCUUGCAAAGGGAAGAGAUCUUUGCAGCACGUUGAUCUCAUUUAGGGAUCCCGGGAAACCAAAGAAGCUAUGCCAAAUCCACAAGUCCUGCGACGCAACUGCCUCGAGCACAAUUGUUGGCUCGCGGUGAUGGCCUGUAUACUACCCGUUUAAGAAAUCAGGCAGUUCUUUCACGUCCAGUGCAUGCAAUCUAUGCUCCUAAGCAUUCCUGGCCAUCCCCUUGCUUUAUUCAUUGCCAGAAGCCGCUUCGUGUCCUCCUCAUUUGGUGCUCGGAGGUUUUCCUUGCCGAACACCCGGAUCAACGCCUUCGCAAAGAUGCGGACAGAUUUAAGCGUUGUAUCUUCUCCGCUGCAAAGAUAGUCAUCGGUGUAAUCCACCAGGACGCCAUAAGCAAUGACCCGCAUGGCUGCGGAAAUCUUCUUGAUACGCACUAAACCCAAGAAGGACGGUCGCGUUUCUUCGGCGGGUGAAGUAGCGACAGUUUGCUUCCCAUGCCUCCACAAUUUUCACGAACAGAGGCCUACGCAUACGGAGGUGCCUAAUCAACAUGGAGUGGUCGAGCGCGCGAUUGUGGGGAAUGCAGUAACGACCAAACUUUGAUCAUUGCCUCUUCUUGCGCAGCCCCUUGUCUUCCACCUCUUUCAUCGUGAGAAUCAUCAAAAUGUUCUCGAGAUCACCGUAGCUCACUUCUUCGUCGAAGGAGUCCUCGGACAAAGAGGAGGACGAAAAUUGCAGCGCGGUAAAGGACAAAGUUGAUGAUUGCAUCUGAAUUCGGCAAUUCGCAAAAUCAACAAAGGCCUAAAAUUCACGAGAUCCCCAAAUCCGAAGGCACGAAAUCGAUGACAAAUUUACCUUCUCCAGUGGGGGGGGGGGGAGGAUUUGCUUGUAGAUCGGGCGAAGGUGGCCUCCUUUGGCUAGACGGCGUCGGAUUUGGAUCCUUCCGAAGCUCCUGGAAAGCGGGCGGAAGGUUGCGGAUCCGGCAGCGGUUUUGGUGCUCCUAGCUCGGUGGAACUAGCGGCCGAAGUUCACGUGGCAGCGGGCGGACAACGUAGGAGCGUUGAUGAGGGCGGGGAAGACAGCGACCAGCGGCACGAAUGCGGUGGUGGCGGCACAAAAUUGCAGGAACGGCGUGUCGGGGAAGACAGGGAGAAGACAGAAACGUCACGACGUGGGCUGAAAUAUGCUUCGCCAACCGUAUUUCGAGGCCACUUCGGUACCAAGACCGGGGGAAGACGGGACCGAGGAUAUUCAGGUUCGAGGACUCCUAUGCGGUAAAUCUGAACUUUUUUUCGGUUUACGCAACUAUUCGGUAUUUUGUUUGGUCGUUUUUGCCCCCAAAACCGAUAACUAGCGGUUAUUUUUCGGUUCGGCCCUUUUUUCGGUAUCUACUAGAGUUUCUCUAAGUAUGGAGACGUUUCUAGAAUAAAAACUAUAAUUACAUUUUAAUAGUUAUAAAAACCUAAGUUGACAAUCCAUAUCUAUUUGUUAAGCCUUGAAUGAAACAUUAAAUUACUAAAAAUACGUGGCACAAAGAUCUUCAGAAACAUGCAUGCAGAUUUUGGUGAGGCGUUUACAGAAAAUAUAACUAUAUAUUUGCAGUGCUCUGUACUUCUGUGAGACUUAUUGUAGCCGCCAGCACUAGUAAAUAUUAAAUUGAUUCACAAAAUUAAUACAAAUUCACCUAUUCAAAUAUUAAAUUUUGAAAAAUACAAUGUCAUAAAAAUUAUUAAAAACUAAUAAAUAGAUACAUUAAAAUUUAUAAAUUGACCCGAUAUUCCAAGUACAAAAAAGAGCUCUCAUGUACAUACUGUGGAGAAUCGGGCGUAAUAACAAUUUUUCCAGAAAAAUGAACUGGACGUAAAUUCAAAUUCUGCUGGUUGUGCAUCGCAUAGAAUCCCAAUGAAAAACCUAUUCCAAUUCCUAUUUGGAUUGACAAAGUUCGGAAUUGUAUAUUGAGAUUAGUAUGAAGCUUUUACUUUAAGGUACAUGUAUCAAUAUCAUAAUAGGGUUUUACAGUAUUAAUAUGCGCAUGUAUCUCCAUGAUUAGAUAUCAAUACAAAAUAAAUAAUAAUGAAGAGGAGAAGCUGCUGCUGACGUGUAGAGAGAGGGAAAGGUGCAAUGAUGUUAUUGUGUGAUAGGAUUUGAAAAAUGCAGGCCGAAGAAGAUGUUGUUGGUGUGUAGAGGUGUGGACCGAGAGAAAGGUGCAGCAAGGAUGGAAGAGGGUGCAAAGAAGAGCCGGACGUGCGUAGCGGCCCGGGUUGGGGGCGUGUCGACAUGUUUUCUUCACUUUUUGCAUUUCUUUUCUGGGAGGAAGUUUAAAAUUGUUAAAAACUCAUUAGUUUACAGAGUAAUUGCAUAAAUAUUUUUCUUGCUAAUUUUUUCCACUGAUGGACAUGUAUUUUUUGAACCAAACUAGAGAGUAUCUUAUCACUAGUAAACUACAUCUUGUUUUUUCUAGGGCGUUGGAUUUCUAGUCUAGAGAGAUGAGCAUGUAUUUUUUGAACCAGACUAGAGAGUAUUUUUAUCACUAGUAAACUACAUCUUUUUCCAGGGCGUUGGAUUUCUAGUCUAGAGGGAGGAAAGCUUCGUGUGAAGUGACUUAUUCUUCCCAAGUGGUCGGAUCGUUCAUUUCACUAGCUAAAUGUCCGUGCUUUGCUACGAGACUAAAAAUCUAGGCUCAUGUUUUUUAAAAUUUCUAAUAAAUAAGAAUUUUCUCAAAAUAUUAUUUUUGAAAAAUAAUUGUCUUGAAAGUCAUCAAAACCAAUCAAGAAUAGUCAAAAGAUCGUGAUACGUAUAAAAUGAGUGGCAAUUAGAUGAGUUCAUAGCCAUUAAGGGAUAGUCUUGUUGAGUGAACUGGCGACUACCAACUCAGAUCUUUAUAAGUGUAAAGAUAUUUAUUAUUUAUGGAUGUAUUUUCUUCGAAAGGAUCUAUUCUUAUGAACUAGUUCCGUUUUUCUAAAUGUAAGAGUAGCUCCACUCCAUAGCCCUAAGCCCCCAACCCCCAAACGGGUUAUGGCGGCGCCGGCGCCAAAAAACCGAUCCAGCCCGUCCCCCUAAAAUAAAAAAGUAGCCGGUGCAGCCACUCAAUUCAUACGGCGCCCCCAGGCCGCACCUACUCACAAGGGGGCUCGUGGGGGCGCCGGAUGAAACUGAAAAGCAGGACGGGCCACCCUUGUCGGCGAGACUAACCUCGAUUUGGGGGGUGUGGUUGGGUGCUGGCUCCACCCCAAACCAAUUGCAUGCACCGGCGUCCCAUAUGGCCAUGCGCUGGACGCUAUAUGGGCGAUGAGUGAGUGGAGAUGCUCUAACUCUUGGGGAAAAUUUGUGGAACUGUGAUACUCCCUCUGUCCGCCUUUUCUAGCCGUGAAACUUGCUAGCCCAAAUACCAAGGCACUCUGCUGAUGUUGUGUUGAUUUGCAGCGGCUGCAUGCCAUCUUAGUUUCUUUGGCCGUGAGUGGGCUGCUGUGGGUCCAUUAGAGAAAUGUGCGUCUCCUAAUAUCAGACUGCAUGUAAAAAAUUAUGCGCCUACUAAAAGCGGACGGAGGGAGUAAUGGUUGGAUCAAGAAGGUGUGAUUGGGCCGAGAUUUGAAACUACAAGGUUUUGGGUUACGAUAAACCAGUUCCAUACUUCCAUCAGUUACGCACGUAAGGAGUUCUUAAUUUGGGGGGCAACACACAUGUAGAUGCUCCCAUUUUUUAUUGCUCACCAAAGACGAUGCACACAGCCAAGAAAAAAAAACAUCACUGUGAUUCAUAUAAAUUUUCCCUUAUCAAUCACGGCCUGACAGUGACCGCUAUCUUCAUGCCCUGCUUGUAGCAGUGAUCCUCCCCCUUGCCGCAGAUGAACAUGAUGACGCCGCUGCUGCUGAGGGUGAUUCGGUCGUUGCCGGAGCUGUACACCGUCGCGUCGUCAGGGUGCCUAGUGCAAGUGGCGAACCCGAAGGAGUCCACCAUGACGACGUUGUGCAGGCUGGGGUCGUAGUUAAACACCGCAGAAAGCAAAAGGACGGAGCGUGUUUUACUUGUGCGUAUAAGUUUAAAAGCACCAGUAGUCCAGUACGAGCGUGAGUGUGUGAUAUGCACGUACCGAGCACAUCGCCUACCCUGAAGCGUUUGUCGGGCGUGUUGGGCCAUGCCAUGACGCCGAAGGUCCAGCCAUUCGAGUCGCCGACUACCUAUUCCCUCGCCGACGCCAACUCGACGCCGACCUGCAGCAUCAAGACGAUCGCCAGAAGCAGCCCAACCCCAAGGCGACCGUACCCGACCUCGCAACUGCUGCUGCUUCCCCGUGCCAUAUCUAGCCGGCCAAAGAACCUGGGUAUUUUUUUUUUUCUUGGCAGAAGAUGAGAGGCUUCUUGUAGUCGAUAUGGUUAGCCCCUGGACUAGCUAAUAUAUAAGCUAAAUUUCCGUCCGUCUACAAACGCCUGGCUGGACCUAGCUGUGUUUGGAUAAUCAUGUCCCUUAAUGAAAGUAAUAAAUGCAUUUAUUUCUUGCCAUGCCAUGCAUAUUUAGAUACAGCUUUUCACAAUGAAUGGUAUAUUGAUGUCUCUUAAUAUAUCAUAAUUGGCAACAAAUCCCAUGAUGUGCGGCUACUCGUCACGUCAGGGGUGCCGUACGGCAGGGGAUAUGACUCCAUCGUUAUGGUGUCGCGCUUAGUAUAUCAUUAACUAGAUACAACUUUCACAAAGCAUGGUAUCUAAGUGUUGUAUUUAAAGAAAUUUUCAUUUAAUUGAUUUUGGCAUCAUAUUUGCAUUUCAACCGUGUGAUCUAUUUCAGGCUAACCCGAUUUACUUUUUAAAAAUGGACGUACAACUUCCCUAUUUCUCUCUCCCAGAGCAUCUCCAACCAGCACCCCUAAAGACUCACCAAACGUCAAAUGGCGGAGCUGGCGCCCAAAAACGCACCCAGCUCAGCCCUCUAUUCUUAAAUUUUAGACGGAGCACGCGGCCUAAUAAAUCAGUUGGCAUCCCCAGGCCGAACCCAACCCAGCGGGGGUGCCGGCGAGGCUUUUUAUGGUGCGGGCCCACCUUCUUAGCGCCGUUUAUCGUCCUCACCAGCUUCGGCAUUAAUCGCCCUCACCGGCUUUGCCUUGGCUUCCCAGACGAGUUAUGGCGGUCGCCGGGUCAAACCACCGCCCAAUCUCGUCGGCUUCCACGCGGCGCGCUCCCGUGCAUUCCCAACGCCGUUCUCGCCGUGUUCACACCCCGGCGGUUUAGCUUCGGCGCCUAUAAAUGGCAGCACCGGCCCGGAGAUCUCGCCAUUCUACUGCUCACCCUUCUCCUCCCUCACCGACCUCGCCCCUCGACCUCCUCUUGCCCCUUCUACUCCUCGAUGCCAUGGCCGGAAAUUGGCAAGACCGCCGCUGGCUCCGCCUCGACGAGGCCGACACGCUGGCGUGGGCCGGCUACCCCGCGUCGUCAGAUUGCUGCCUCCCACACAAUUGGCAGCUGAGCCUGGCCGGCAGGCCCGUACCACCACCGCCGGCGUGAACGGACCGCCAAGCACUACUACCGCGUGCUAAAGCCGGAGCAGCAGGCGAUGCCGGAGUGGGACCGCCACACCGGCAGCACCUGGACCGGCUUCUUCGAGGAGGAGCACUGGUGCGCCGUCCGCGAUAUGCCGCACCCGACGGUGCGGAACAAUAUCGCGGGCCGGCGUGCCUUCUGGCAGCAGCCAGGGCGGUCCCUCGAGGCCGUCUUGCCGCACAUCGCCGCCGGCAACGAGCCGAGGCUCGACAGCGGCGCUCCCCUCUCCACCACCGGCCGGACUCCGCCGCUACCUGGGCGGUGGCUCCGGCUCCUCCUCUUCUUCCCGGAGGCGCACACGCCGCCGCUCCGGCCGAGAUCCUCCUCCGGAGCAUGGCAGGCUGCGUCGCCACCGUGUGGCCUCCUUCGCCUCGUCCGGCCAAAGCUGGACCCGGAGUGGAUGCGUCCGGCUGAGCAGGAGAGCGCCGCCAUCCCGCAGCGACGACGACCCGGAGGAGUUUCCGUGUCAGCGUGCCGCCGAGCGUGCCAACGAGGAGGAACAACGCCGGCUCCGCCUCCCUGGCUACACGGCCACCGAGGCCGAAGUCCCGGCGUGGCUGGCCGAGGAGGCGGCGAAGAAGAAGCCGGCCCUGGCGCUGGUGAAGGAGCCGGGCGUCAUCGUCAAUGACUCCGAUGACGAGGACAGGGGCUUCAACUUCAACAGCGAUGGCAGCGGCGCGUCCUGGAUCGACCGCCUAGACGACUGGGUUUUUUUAGUUUUUUUAAUUUUAAUUCUGUAAAUUAUCGCAUGUUUGAAUGAAAUGUCGCCGAACUUUAUGAAACAUCGCCUAAUUUGAUGAAAUAUGCCAAGUUUAAAUUUGUUUUGAAUUUAGUAUCGAGGGCUCGGCUGGGAUGCGGCAGGCCCCCAAAUUUUCCUUUGCGCCGGACGCCAUGUGUGUGUGUGGGGGGGGGGGGGCGGCUGGAUAUGCUGUUAUAGUAUAUCAUAGUCUAGUCCAUAAACUUAUAAUGAAUGCACAAUUUAGUCCACAAACUCAGACAACGGACAUAUAAAGCCCUAAACUGGUAUGAGUGUAACACUUAGAUUCGAAAACAGUUAAUUCAGAUCACAUGGGCACCAGCAUCAUGGGUUGCUGUUGGGGGUUUCUCACGAGAGUUUUUGCAAAAAUUUAACAGCAACCCGCAGAGAUUAUUUUAAAAUUUUCCUAGAGUUAUGUUAAUUUUUUACGAAAAACCCUGAGAAACAUCAACAACAACCCGCUGUCCGGGCUUAAUCCCGCCGAACCGUUUUAGAACGAAGUGUCACGCUAAUACCAGUUUAGGUCUUUACCUGUGCGUUUUCUGAGUUUGUGGACUAAACUGUGUGUUGUCAAAAAUUUAUAAUUUUUCGUAGAGUUAGUGUUAUUUGGAUUAGAGGGGUAAUAUUCCAAGUAGGACUGAUAUCUGAGGUGUUACACCGGCGCUGACCAUGGGCCGGACGUCAUGUGGGGAUGAGUGAAGAUGCUCAAACUCUCGGGGAAAAUUUGUGGAACUGUAGUAGUGGUUAGAUCAAGAAGAAAGGUGUGAUUGGGCCCAGAUUUGUGUCGGUCCAUUUUGUCCGAGGGACAGAUUUGUCCUUGUGAAACUACAAGGUUUGGGUUACAAUAAACCAGUUCCAUACUUCCAUUAGUUACGCACGGAAGGGGUGUCUUAAUUUUGGGGGCAACACAUAUGUAUAUGCGUUUUCUACUGUACCCAAAACUCCACCUGGGCUAAACGAAGUAAUAAGGAAGGGCAUUUCUGACCUUUCACAUUUUACAUUAGUAAAAAAGGAAAACAAAGAAUUAGAGUUGCUCUCUCUUCCACCGGUAUUCCCGACCCCUCAGCGGCUCAGCCUGCGCCUCCUCCUAGCGUGUCACCGCACGCGCCGCUGCCGCCUGUCGUGGACGAGACGGCGGUGUAGAGGAGGAGCGGGGAGAUUUCGAGGAGCGCGCGGAGGCAGGAUCUGGCGUCGGGGACGACGAGGAAGAAGUAGGCAUUGUUUGUUUGAACUUCAGCUUCAGCUUUUGGUGUUUUUAGCAAUCUCAAAAGUACUUCUUCAAAGAUGUUUCUCAAUUUCAUGUGUAAAUGAGAUAAGUUCUUUUAAAAAUUUUGAAAUUGCUAGAACCGUCAAAAACCAAACUGAAGCACAAACAAACAAACAGGGCCGCAGUGAAACGGCGAGGAGGAGGCCAGCAGCGUCCCGUCCAGGUCUGCCGCCGCCGUCCGCCGCUCCCGCGAUGACGCGUUGUAUUCCGACACCAGUGGAUCGAUCUCGACUGGGCCGGAAUUUAAUUGCCCCGUGCUCGCGUGCAAUUAGUACUUUGCGAUUGGUUGGUUUGGUUGCUGCAGAGCGGUAAUUCAACGGCUCAGCAGUGGGACGGUGGCAGCGGCCAUGGAUGACGACGGAUCCUGGUCUCCUCUGUUUAUACGAACCAGCCGCGGCCAAUUCCUUUGAUUGGACGGACUAGCUAUGGCCUAUGGACGUGCAGCAGGGAACGGCGACCGGCGAGGGCGAGGCGCUGAAUGUGCCUCAGCGCAGCCGCGAGCUUCCCACGCCGCCGGCCGGCACCUCAACAAGACCUAAUGUUGCGUGCAAAAAAAGCGCGCGGGGAGCUCGCCGCGGCUUCGUUUGGUGGAGGCGAGAGCCGGCGAGGAGGAUGGGGAGGUGGUGGCCGUCAGCGGCGGCGGCGAUGGCGCGCGGGACAGAGGAGGAAGAAUAUUAUCGUGGCUUGGGUUACUGUUUUGCCCCUUCUGCUGGAUACUCCAUCAUAAUACUACAGACAUCUAAAUUGGACUAUUAGGAAGUACAGUAUCAAUUAAUCUGAUCCCUUAGAUUCUGGGUUAAUGUAGAACUCUUUUUUAUUGCUCAUCAAGAUGAUGCAAACAACCAAGAAAAAGAAAGAAAACACCACUCGGAUUAAUUCAUAUUAAUUUUCCAUUAUCAAUCAUUGCCUGACAGUGAGCGACAUCUUCAUCCCCUGCUUGUAGCAGUGCUCCCCUUUGCCGCAGAUGAAGUUGAUCACGCCGCUGCUGCCGAGGGUGAUGCGGUCGUUGCCGGAGCUGUACACCGUCGCGUUGUCAGGGUGCCUAGUGCAAGUGCCGAACCCGAAGGAGUCCACCAUGAUGACGUUGUGCAGAUUGGGGUCGUAAUUGAACACUGCAGAAAGCAAGAGGACGAACCGUGUUUUACUCUUGUGCGUACAAGUCUAAAACCACCAGUACAUACGUGAGUGUGUGAUGGAUACGAGUACGUACCGAGCACAUCGCCUACCCUGAAGCGUUUGAAGUCGGGCUUGUUGGGCCAUGUCAUGACGCCGAAGGUCCAGCCACUCGAGUCGCCGACUACCCAUUCCCUCGCCGCCGCCAACUCGCUGCCGACCUGCAGCAUCAAGACGAUCGCCAGAAGCAGCCCAACCCCAAGGCGACCGUACCCAACCUCGCUGAUGCUCCUGCUUCCCCGUGCCAUAUCUAGCCGGCCAAAGAACCUGGGUAUUUUUUUUUUCUUGGCAGAAGAUGAGAGGCUUCUUGUAGUCGAUAUGGUUAGCCCCUGGACUAGCUAAUUUAUAAGCUAAAUUUCCUUCUAUAAACGCCUGGCUGGACCUAGCUGUGUUCGGAUAAUCAUGCCCCUUCCUUAACGAAAGUGAUAAAUGCACUUAUUUCUUGCCAUCGAUGCCAUGCAUAUUUAGAUACAGCUUUUCACAAUGCAUGGUAUAUUGAUGUCUCUUAAUAUAUCAUGAUUGGACACAAAUUCCAUGACGUGCGGCCACUCGUCACGUCGGGAUAUCCGGAUAUGACUCCAUCAUUAUGGUGUCGCGCUUACUACAUCAUUAACUAGAUAGGAGUACAACUUUUCACAAAGCAUGGUAUAAGUGUUGUAUCUAAAGAAUUUUUCAUUUAAUUGAUUUUGGCAUCAUAUUUGCAUUUCAACUGUGUGAUCUAUUUGUGGCGAUCCCGAUUUAUACAUGCACUAGCUGAAAAAAUGAUACAUUCAAAAACAUGCAUUAAAAUUUCUCUUUGCUCUUCUUUAACGAUCACCAAAUAUCCAUUUAAAAAUGGUUUCUUCCGAAGAUUUGUGUCUCUGUACUCUAGUCUCUCAAAAUAAAACAAUACACUUCCUUCUGAAAAUUAUAUAACAUCACCCGGUCAAAAAAGUUUUGAGACAUAAUCACUUAAUUUUUUUAGUUCUCUCCACUAUCUCACUUCACCUGUUAAAACAAAGAGUUAGAAGGGGCAACAAAUUUAUGUUUUGACAGUUGUACGUUCGUUUAUGAGUAUAGAAAUCUGAUUAUUAAUUUUGUUGAGUAUGUCUAUUCUGAUUUUGUUGGUUUUCUGAAGGAUCUUAUCAAUAUUAGAUUAAGUCAAGCCUAAUUAAUAAACUAGCAACGCACGUGUAAUUUUUUUUCCAAUUAUUUGCUCGAGUUGUUCGGCGGAUCUGACUUGUGGGCAGUUUAGACGACUUGACGUCGUUGGCCUCUCGGCUAUAUGUCUGCUCGUAGUCCUGUCUCUGCGGGGUGGUUAAAGUCCGUCUUAUAUGGCCAGCAAGUAUUAAAUGUGGCAACUCGCCUGCGGAUAUCCGACCCAAAUGGGUAGGAUAUAGGUCGACGUUUACGCCCAUGGUAUACCCGAUGGCUCGCCCGAUUAGUCAUGGGUAGGGUCUCAGUAUAGAUUUAUACCCACGGAUACCCGAUGGGUCGCCCACUUAAUAUUUGAAUUAAAUACAUAUUGUUUUUAUUAUAUAAUAUGUGGACUCUUUGAUGCAAUAAGGAUUAAUGGAUGAACCUUGCUGUAAAAAAAAAGACCAAGUGCAAAAUUGGCCAGUAGCCCAUGACUCGAUGACCCAUCAACUUGGCAUGUUUGGCCAUCUCUCUCGCUCAGUUAAUCUCACUGAAGAAAGGCAUCGAGACGCGUUCUCCCAUCUCCCAUUCCGCACUCGGCCAUCAUCUCUCCUUCUCUCUACUAUGCCCUAGGCGCCACCACCAUUCUCUUUCCGUAGUCUGUCUCAUCAGCUUCUUCUAGCAAUUCGUCAUCUCCUCGUGUAGACUAGGAGAUAGAGGGGACGGCCGUGGCUUCAAUUCCUUGCCCGAUGGGUGCCUGAUCGGAUCUCAGCUUCUGACUCCCUAGUGUUGCGGCGGAGCGAUCUUUUUCUCGUCACAUUCGAAGUUGUUGCCCGACUCUCGUAAUGAUCCUGCUGCCGAUGGAUUCUCUCGUGGAAUUCCAGUCCAAUUUGGUGCAGGUAACGGGCCUAAUAUACAUGCAAUUUUGGGGGUCCCACAACUUUUUUGGGAAGUUUGUCAGACGACGGUGAAGGAAACGGUCCGUGUUUAGAUAGGGGUAUAGAUAUUUUUAAACCUCUUACAUUGCUUAAACAACAUUAAUUCUAACAAUCAGUUUCAACACGCCGGAGAGAAAAAUUGACGUACAACUCUCCCCUAUUUCUCACUCCCUUAUAGUAUAUCAAAGUCUAGUCCAUAAACUUAGAAUGAAUGCACAAUUUAGUCCACAAACUCAGAGAACGGACAUAUAAAGCCCUAAACUGGUAUGAGUGUACCACUUAGAUCUAAAAACAGUUUGGUGUGGUUAAUUUUGGCCAUGUGGGCUUAAACCAGCACCGUGGGUUGCUAUUGGGGUUUCUCAGGGGAGUUUUCGCAAAAAAAUAACAACAGCCUUCGGAGAAUUAUGUUAACUUUAUGAUGGUUUAACAACAAGCUGCGAAUUAUGUUAAACUUUUGCAGAAUUUUCGUAGAAUUAUGUUAAACUUUUGCAGAAAAAUAAAACCCAACAACAACAUGCGGUCCUGUCUUAAGCUGACGUGCUUGCGACGUGGCCGAAAUUAAUCUAGCCGAACCGUUUUUGACCUAAAGUGUUACACUAAUAGCAAUUUAGGUACUUGCAGGUGCGUUUUCUGAGUUCGUUAACUAAACUUUGUAUUCGCUCUGAGUUUAUGGACUUGUGGUGUAUUUCGCUUCCUAUGUACUCACUCCGUCCGAUAUUAAAUGACUCAAAUUUACCUAAAUAUGGAUGUACUUAUAUAAAAAAAUGUCUAGAUAUAUAAUAGAACGUCACUUGACAUGGGACGGAAGCAGUAUCGCAAUCACUUAUUUCGAGCCAUUGCUAAUAUGCCAUGGUAUCUUCCUAUGCUUUGCUAUCCAUGUAUUUUUGGAUUCCAUUUUUUUAAAGAGCCUUUUGGAUUCCAAUUUUUUUAAGGCAACUUUUAGAUUCCAAAUAAGCAACCAAAACACCAACACCUCGCAGCGAGUGCAGGCCCAAGUACGUCCGCAGCCCGUCUCACUUGUCCUGGUCGUCGCGGCGGCACGGUUCCUCGCGAAUCGAGCCCAGCUGCAUGGCCCGGGCUAGGUGCCCACGUGGCCACGUGUACCCGUGAGCGAGGGCUCGAAGGCUCUCAUCCGCCGACGUGUCGAUGCGUCCGCAGGGUAACGCGUCCGCGCAAGUGGUGGCUUUCCCCCGGCUUCUGCUCUUGGUCGCCUGCACCCUGUGGAGGAAACGGACGAUCGAUCGGUCGCCGGCUUUGCAUGCCGCCGUGUCAUCGUUACUAGCGGCUUGGUCCCCGUCCCCAUGCAAACAUCUCCGAUGAACCGAAUCAAAUUGUUCAGAUGCAUCCGCAGAUCGAUCCUGGCAAGGCAUCUUUGAUUGAACGAUUUUCAAAAACGUUGCUUGAGGAAACAUUGAACUCUAUUUCGUUUUAGAAUUACGAGAAACAUUUCAAACAGGGAAAACAAACAGCAGCGGUCAGACCAAUGUAUCCCACGGAUGGAUAGAAACGGUGGAAAAACCAUCUGCAAAUUCGCCUGAAAAUUACAACCCACACAAAAUGCCAAAGGAUCGCCGAGAACAAGCACGCAAGCAAAAGAUUUUUCUUUCCCUCCCCUUCCUCCCUCUUCCGCCUCCUUCCUACCUCCAUGGCUCCACCCAGUCCUCCUCCUCUUCCCCAUAUAUAGGGCCUCUCCUCCGCCCGUGCUUCUCUCUCCCUCCAUCUCUCUCUCUCUUUCAUUGCCGCCUCUCUCUCUCUCUUUCUCCACCACGCUAUUAACAACGGCUAACUCGUGCGCCGCGAUACGGCCGCAAAAGGCUUAACCGCGUGCCUCGGGGCCCAAGGGAUCGAGGAGAGAAGAGGUUUGCACUUCGGGACGAGACGCCAUGGACGCGCUGAGGUUUCUGGGCGGCGUCCGGCCCGCGGCGCCGCCACCGCAGCCUCCGGUCGCGCCCGCCUCGGUGGCGCCGCCGCCCGUACAGCGGCAGCAGCCGCGUGCCGCGUUGCCGAGGCUGUGGCCGCGCGGCGAGAGGGCGGGCGCCGCCGCGCCCGCGGGCGGGCAAGUACGCGGCGAGGAAGCGGGGACGAGGCCCGAGGCGGAGGAGCGGAAGCAGGGCAACUGGGUGCUGCAGAUGCUGCGGGUGCAGCCGAGGUGGGUGGAUGAGGCGGACGCGGAGGCCGGCGGCGGCGGAGACGGAGGACGGGUAUCCGAAGAGGCGCCGGGCGUCGCGGGAGGCGAGAGGUGCGCGUCGUGCGGCGGUGGCGGCGAGGAGGAAGGGUGCCCCGUGGGGGCGGACGAGGGCGACGGCGAGGUGUUCGACCGCGCGUCCUUCUCGAGGCUCCUGCGGAAGGUGUCCAUCGGGGAGGCCAAGGAGUACUCCAGGAUGUCCUACCUCUGCAACAUCGCCUACAUGAUCCCCAGGAUUCAGGUACGAUCAUCGCAGCAAUGCCAUUUUUCUCGGGUUAAUCGCAGUUAAUCCCUGGUGAAUUUCCUUUACGUGAAGAUUACAGCUCCUUUUGGUAAUUCGUUCAUGCUGUAAAUUUCAACAUUGCCGUAGGUAGUGGUAUUUUUAGGAAUGUUAAGCUGAAUUUAGUCUGUUUCGAUUUCUACUGUCCUUCUCUCUGGGAGAUGGUGAAGUACUUGUUUUACUAGUCUGUAAACAGUGGUUCAUCUCUUCCCCCUUAUGGAUUCUGCCCAUUUAUGGGUUCCUUUCUGAAGAAUAUGAUGAGCUAGCUCUGUCGAUGUGUUCCAUUUGUCCUGUAUUGUCCUGUAUUGACCAUCAAUUGUCACUUGGUUGAGCUUUUUUUGUGGCUAAUGUAUAUAUAGAUUACGCCAACGUUUCUUUAUUUGAUACCGCACUACUGAUGUUUUUUAUAGAUAAUCUGAACUACAGCUACCUUAUCGAUCUAUCUAAUGUAACCCAAGUUUUUCUAACUCUGCAAUUCUUGGUUCCUUCUCGACCCUGUCAGCCAAAAUGUCUCCGCCGGUACAGCUUGCACUUUGUGACCUCAUCAGUGCAAGAGAAGGAGAGAACUAAUCCUGAUCAGCAGAAGGAGCAGAGCACAGAGAGAGGUGAAUCUCCAGAUCAAAAAUCCGAAGUUGUCAAGAAUGUCGCGCUGGGAAUCGAGGAGAAAGGAAAUGGACCAGGCAUAAACCCCUUCGGUGCAUACCAAAUCAUGUCGUCUGCUGCCUCAUACUUACAAUCCCAGGCCAUGGGCAUCAAUCCCUUCCGUUCCAGGAGUGAUGGUAAGAAUGAUCCAACCAUCAUGGCCAUUAUGAAUGGUGAAGACGGUGAAGGUUUAACCUUGGACGAAGCCUCAUUUGUGGCCACGACAAAUUCGGUAACUUCCAUGGUUUCUGCGAAAGAAGAAACAAGACAAGCUGUUGCAGAUGAUUUGAAUUCUUCACGAUCCUGUCCCUGUGAAUGGUUUAUUUGCGAUGAUGAUCAAGGCAGUACAAGAUACUUCGUAGUGCAGGUAGAUCUCCAGAUAACUCAUAUCUCAGUACUUUUGCCUUGCGUAUUUGUUUACCCUAAAGCUUGUGUUGCUCGAUCAUAGCUUACUUAUUUUAUUGGCAGGGCUCAGAGUCGAUCGCUUCUUGGCAGGCCAACCUACUAUUUGAACCCGUCAAAUUUGAGGUGUGUUAUUAGCUCUUGCUAUGCCUUGUGUAUGAUAUAUCGGAACAGUUCAGAUGCCAGUAUUCCACCAUUGUGGCAUCCACAGCUUCAUCUGGUUAUGCAUCAUCCAUUUGAACUAGUUGUGCUCACAUAUGUAUCUAACUUCCUAUGUACAUCUUAUGCGGUCCAGGGGCUUGAUGUGCUCGUUCACAGGGGAAUAUACGAGGCUGCCAAAGGAAUAUAUCACCAAAUGUUGCCGUUUAUCAAAUCUCACUUGAAAAGUUACGGUAAAUCUGCAGCAUUGCGAUUUACUGGUCAUUCUCUUGGUGGGAGUCUGGCUUUGCUUGUGAAUCUUAUGUUAUUGAUGAGAGGAGAGGCACCGACUUCAUCAUUGUUGCCUGUUAUAACAUUUGGUGCGCCAUGCAUCAUGUGCGGCGGUGACCACUUGCUUCGUAAACUUGGAUUGCCGAAAAGUCAUGUGCAAUCAAUCACAAUGCAUCGGGAUAUUGUUCCUCGGGUAUUUUCAUGCAACUACCCUGACCAUGUCGCUAACAUUCUGAAGCUCGCCAAUGGAAAUUUCCGCAGUCACCCGUGCCUUACAAACCAGGUAUGCUUGCGUCUGAUAACCUCCCUUUUUAAAACAGAUAUGGUACAUUGGUCGUUUUACCUAUGUGAUUGAUAUUCCUUGUACUUAACAAUCAAGUCCCAAUAUAGCAUUCUUAGCUGUUGUAACGAAGAUAGAAAUGAGAUCCCAUUUCUGACACGGGGAACGAAUGAUAAGCACAUUUGUUAGUUAUAUUAUCUGCUGAAUUGUGUGGAAUGUCUGUUGAGGAUGUAAUAUGUUUUCCUGGCUCAUGCAACCUACUUAUCAUAUAUUGAACUGAUAAAUUCAUCUUCACGAAAAUUAAAUUAGUUUGAUUGAUGGUACAUUUCUGAAUAAGCUUGAAAAGAAAAUACAUAGGAUCACUAGCAGCUGGCAUGGUUAUUUGUUCUCUUGUGCGACAAAUUUUCAUUUGUAUCUUCACGUUAGCAUACAUGUCCAGCAAUCAUAAUUGCCUAAUCAUUUAUCUGUACUUCACUGCAGAAACUCUUGUACGCCCCAAUGGGGGAAGUCCUUAUCUUGCAGCCAGACAAGAGGCUAUCCCCACACCACCACCUCCUCCCGGAGGACAGCGGCAUCUACCACCUGGGCGACUCAUCGGCGGCAGCUGGCAUCUCCCUGCGGCAGCUCCAGUCCGCCAUGUCGGCCUUCUUCAAUUCCCCGCACCCGCUGGAGAUCCUCAAGGAUGGCGGCGCCUAUGGGCCCAAGGGUUCCGUGUACCGGGACCAUGACGUGAACUCGUACCUCCGGUCUGUCCGCGGCGUGGUCCGCAAGGAGGCACGGCGGCUCCGGGAGGCUGAGCGGGAGCGGUGGGGGCUCCUCCUGUGGUGGCCACUUGCCGUGCACGGCGUCCUGACCAACGGCUUCAGCGGCAGUGGGCUGCACGGCGUCGGCGAGGUCGCGUACGCCGUGGCGCGGCGUCUCCAGAGGCAUGCGCGGAUGGUGGUGCUGUUCCUGCUGCCGGCGAAGCUGCUCGUCCUGGGCGCUCUCCUGGCCGUCAGAUUGAAGUGGUAGAUGAUUAAUUUACGUCCGUCCCCCCGUUCGUUUGUUCGUUCACGAUUCUUUUGUCCGAGUUAGCGUGGUCAGAAUGCUCGGAUGAGGUUCCAUCUGGGCAAAAUGUGUGUAUACCUCUGACUGAAUCACAGAUUAGAUCAAAGUCCCUAGCAACAUGCAGCUCAAAAUAGCAUCAUCUUAUCGUUGUUGCCUUUUGUGCCUCUUGCCUGUUACGGCUUGCAAUAACUCAAAAGGCAACAAAUGUUGAGCUUGUUGAUGCCAAGCAGUAGUAUUACUAGCUGCUAGCAGGAGUAGGUGAUGAGCCGGCAACUGCCAACACCUAUAUGUGUCGCAUACGCGUGGACGUAGCAUUUAGGAGGCAUUGCUUUGCAAGGUGCCAAAGGACGCCAGAAAGAGUAGACUUUUGAGUAUUCGAAUGCUCCAAAUUACGCAGGUUCGUGCAGGGACACACAGACGCCCUAUUUCCGUUGACAAGCAAGGCAACACGAUGCAACACGUGUAAACCGGAGAACACGCACGUACGUGUGUGUGUAGAGAGGCUGAAAAUCGAAUUGCGUUGCUUGCCGAGGUUCCCGUGUCUGCCUAGUCACUGCGAUAACGUGCAAAUGGAGUGCAUCCCGUGUAUGUAAGACCGACCACCAGCGGAGCGGCCGGGUUGCCAUCUCACUCACUCGAUCGCAUGCUACUCGCCUAGCUGCACUCAGGCAUUGCUUAAUUUGGAGACCUGGUUUAGUGGAUUGGAUGUAUUUUUGAACAAAGUAUCAGCCCCACACUAGUCGGACCGUUCUAGUACAUCAAUAAUGAUCGUACGUACUCCGUAGAACCUAAGCUAGCUGUGUCGAUCGGAAGUACUAGAAACCCACCCGAAAUACAUGCGCGUCCCGUUGUUCACCACCACGAUGAGCCUCGAUCGUCCGGCUGCGCGCGGUUACGUUAAACGGAAGACCCAUGUUCCCCCUCAACCCGCCGGCCGCAUGAUCUCCCUUCGAUCCGAUAGAUUAUAUUGAGAGCGACGUACGCGAGCAGUGUGAGAUACCGAGAUCGAUGACGGAUCGAUCAGCUUUAGAAAUCCCCGUCCGAAAACCCUUCCUCCUCACCAGGGCGCAUAUCCGUCGAUCGGCCAACCCGGCCGGACUUUUGUCCUUCAAACCCAUGCAUCCCGUUAUUAAUUUCUUGCUUGCUUCGUGGCCGGCGUCCGCGGGCCGGGCCGUGCCGAUCCUGCCACCUGGACCGGCCGGGCGUGCGGUGCCGGUUCUUCUUCUUGCGUGGCUGGCGCGGUUGCCGACCCUAUCCGCUUCUGCGAUCGAUUGGGCGGAGAUCGAGCAACGUGUGGUGGGCGACGCCGGGGGAGACCCACACGGCCAAGCAAGCAAGCGGAACAUAUUAAGACCCGCCAGAGUCGGCCGUACGUCGCCCCGUCCGCCGUUGUGCCGAGUGUGAAACUUGCACGGGAUGCAAAGCCUCGUCGCGGUCUUACUUUCCUUUUCCACGUUUAACCGCGCGCGCGAGAGAGAUCGAUGGUGAGAAAACGUACGUGAAGAAAGACCGGAUGAAAUUAGAACCAAAUGAAUUCCAGUUGUGGGUUCAUUGGACGCAGAAGAAACGCGACGAAUGAAGUUAUGAAGACCGAUUUCUGCUCUAAACCAUGCUACAGCGUCGCCUGUCGUUUCUUACCAUACCAAAAUGUCUGUCGUCUACUUUCCUCGUUUCCUUUCUUACGACAUGUUUAAGUUUGGUCCCAAUCCAAAUAAAUAAAAUAAAGUUUGCCACUAUGAAGAUAUAGUAUAUUUUUUGGGGGCAGAUAUGAUAAAAUUAGUCAGCCGAAUCACCAAAACCGUCCGCACAAUCACACGUUUUGAAUCAGUUUGUCUCAACCAGCCCGAACCGGGUGGUUUGACUAGAUUUCUUACGGGUGGGGCCCACAUAUCGGAUGCCAUGUUGGCAUCGACCUGACCCGUUAACUCUGUUGCUGCGCGCCGCCAAAAUUUUAGCUUUUGUUUUCUUUUUCAUUUCAGGCUUUUAAUUUUUGAACUUUUUAGUUUUAGAUUUUUAUUGAAUUUGCAAAAAUGUUAAGAAAAACCUCACCGUCGAACACCGGACGCUCCAGUGAGCCGCGACACGUCUGUUUAGGGAGCUAUUUGAGACAGACUGCUCAAAGAUGUGUGGUUUCGUGGACAAAUUAGCGAAUAUCGAGACUCUGUGACGACUGCCCAAAAAUUGUUCCCACGUGAAAUUUACUCAAAAAGGAACGGUCACCCUGGAUCAUUGACGCUGCUCGACCUUUGAUUCAGUUACCACUCACCUAGUAAUCCUACAAUGUGUACGCUCCUUGUUAUUUGUGCAACUCAAACACAAACAAGAAAAGAGCCAUUUUUUGUCGCAAUUCAAUUUAAAGCCUCACUUACGCUCUACGUAGACAAGAAUCGGCUGGCCGCAGGCAACGUUUAUACCUUCGGGCACCAUGCUCCGCUGUACCAAAGCUAUAGUACAGCGACGAGGCCUCCUAAAUACGUCGAUCAGUGACCCAAAUCCAAGCGUAGAGUCUCUGACCUUUCGCACAGCUUUACCAGCAUAUACAACUAAUUAGCAACUCCUGGCGGACUGACAGCUUGAUGGAUAUAUAUAGACCGGCCAAAACGGAGGCCUCCGAUGAUCCAAACCCCACAAGGCCACAAGUGCAGAGUUGGGUUUGAUCCUUCUUUUCUCUCCAGGGAAAGGAAAAUUUCAGUGUUAUCACAGCAACUCCGAAAUGCCAACUCCAAAUGCGGGCUUCAGUCCGGAAGAAGCCUUUUGCUUGUUUGGCAUGUAAACCGCGCGCGGCCGGGGUACGAGUGUGCGUGCAAAGCUUGUCAAAUUUGUUUUUCGCUUUUAACUGAUGAUCUUGGGCGCAGCGAGAACGCGACGAAUAUCGAUUUCGCGCUGAAUCGGGGAUCGUUUGUCACUUUUGAGUUUUGACCGGCCCAAAAUGCUCGUCAUCUAUCCUCUCAUCCUGCCUCAAUUGAUCCUUAUGUAGACUCCUUGUUAUUUCUGCAACUCAGUAGUCAUUACAAAGUACACACAUAAACAUAGGAACACUUUUGUCACGGAUCAAUUUAAAACGGUUGUCUGCAUGUACGUGUAUCGGUCAAAUUUUGCAAAAACAGGGAGAGUAGUUAGUGAGACGUUUCCUGUACAUGCUCUGCCUAUCCUUAGCGGCAGUCUAUCCAGCUGUACCAGACUAAAAUUAUAAUCCACUACCGUAUAGUAGUUAAGAGACGACGCCACCAAGAGUUUCAAAUAUUUUGCUUGGAGGUCACCUAUAUGUGUGGAGCAGUUAUCGAAAGUGAAAAGCAGAGUCUCCUACUUAUGGCACAUCUUUGUCAGUAUCCAACUGCAGAUCGAGCAAGUCCGGAUGGAUCGAGCUUGAAGGCUUGAUGGGUAGAUAUUGCACGUAGUGCUCUGCCGACCAGAAAUGGAGGCCUCCGCUGAUCCAAAUCCCCCGAGUGCAAGCUGUGUUUCGUCUUCCUUUUCUCUCCUGGGAAAGGAGAAGUCCAGUUCCGCAACCCAGAAAUGCGAACUCUAAAUGCGGCUUCUUCAAGCUUUACUCUUCUGGCCUUUGCUUGGUUGGCAUGUAACGCAACCCCGGACGGGCAAAGGAAGCGGACUCCGGAUCAUAUCGGCUGCCAAAUCACUUGCCCACUUUUGUGCCCUUCUUCCCUUUUACUACAAAAUGGAGGAUGCAUUUAGGGAGAAGAUCAGCUGUACGAUUCGUUGGCUGGCACUGCGGCGAACUACAUUUUCAGACCCUGAACCUGCGUCUUCAGUCGCAAUGCAAGACCUCGAUCUAGCAUAUUUUGCUAUUUUGACGAAGCGCGUAUCCAAACGAACAAUAUGUCAAGAUCUGAACAAAUGCAACGUUUUGCUGUGAUUUUUGAUCGAUACGCCCUUUUUUUUACGCAGCAUUGCAGGCAAGAUCCAACAGAUGCUUAACAGACUUUGGUGCACCGGCUGAGGUGACAUAUUACAUUGGCUGGAAACCUCCCCAGUCUACAAAUGACACCACCCCUGCGAACCACGUUGUAGCUAAUAAAAUCAUCUUACAAGCGAACAAUUGAACAAAUCGACCCACCACAUAUCUAGGGUUAACACCAACUUACAGGUUUUCCCUAUCGCUAAGAUAAACGUUUUCUUACAGCUGCAGGUUUCUCCAGAGCAUCAGGAGAGUGACGAAGGACCAGACCUGAACACUGCCCCUGUAGACAGCAGCAGGAAGGGAAAGCUCUUCACUUGAUGUACUGAGACAUCCAUUUGAAACCUUCACCGUAGCCCAUCUUACGGACGAUGCUGCACAUGAACACCUCCAGGGGCCGCACGUUGGAAUCGGAUAAGUUCACAUUGCCCUUCCCAGUGGUGAAGUUGCUCAGCCCGAGGUAGUAGCGCAGCUCCUCUUCGGAUGCCGCAAUAGGUAUGUCGAUCUUGUUACCCAGUACGAGGAAAGGCACCUUCGCUAGGGAGUCGUCUGAAAGAAGGCCAUCGAGCUCCUUCUUCGACUCUGCAAACCGUUCCUUGUCAGCAGCGUCCACCAAGUAAACAACAGCAUCAACCUAUAAGAAAGAUUAUAGGAAUUAAAACAAGCCAACAAAAUCAUAUGAACAUUAAAUUCACAAACUAAAUAUCCGUUGAUAUCAGUGGUUACAGCCCGGGGCAAUAUUCAGCUGAGGGAAAAAGAGGCACAGCAUUUAUGUGUUUGGAUUAAAUUCCAGGUGAUAAACAGACAAACAUUUCAUCUCCGCUCCCGCUAUACAUGAAAAACUGAAUGCACCCCACUAUGGCUCAUAUGUGUUUUUCACGACAAAUAAAUAUGAAGUCCCCCACAAGUUGUAUUAUAAUCAAGCAGGAUUUCCUUGUGAUCUAUGAAGAGACAUGAAGAGUAGGGUUGUACAGAGAUAGCUGUACGGCAUGUGGUCAUCGUGGUGACAUACUCUUAAUUGUUCAUUCUGGUCUACUUCAGAGCAGAAUGGCUGCACAGUUUUUCAAAUCUGCAAUAUGUAUUCCAACCAUUUCCCAUCAAUCAGAACUAAUUAAUGUCUUCCAGCAAAUUAUUUAUGGGGAAAUAUAAAAAGCUGUAAAUGACCAAACAAAGAGGCAUCAAAACUAAUUCACCACAGCAAUGACAAUAGUCAAUCUCAGAACAAAUUAAUGUCUUGCAUUAUUAUUAUUUUUGCGGGUAGUCUUGCAGUAAAUUAUUUAUGGGGAAAUAUAAGAAGCUGAAAAUGACCAAACAAAGAGGCAUCAAAGCUAAUUCACAACAGCACCAACAAUAGUCAAUCGUGUACUUAACUCUCCUAACAGCCACAAAAGAGCUUUAGCUGACCAACUACUUUCUUCCAUAUGUUUGCUUAUCUUCAACUAGUAAAAUGCUCAAACUACAGAAAUUUAUGAUCGUAUCAGGACAUGCAUCAUUAUUUCAUUACAUUAGAACAGUAUAGUUUCCACACCAUUUUAUGAUCGUAUCAGGACAUGCAUCAUUAUUUCAUCACAUUAGAACAGUAUAUUUUCCACACCAUUUCCAAUAUUUUCAAAUUAUAGCAACUUCCCUCAUGACAACCAAACAUGAGUGUUAAGUCAAAAAUUGAAGCCCAUAAUACGUUAUUGCAAACAAUAUUCGUAUCAGGUGCAUUGUCUUCCCUGCAAUCCAUAAGAUCUAAUGAUCUAUACUGAUCCUUAGUAGUUGCACAAAAAUGCCUUCAGGACAUACCACGCUUCCGUAGGACAAAUACUCGAGGGACAGAGCCAAGACUAAAGAGUAAAGAGUGUCCAUGAAGCUUCUGGUUAACAUUACAGGGCCACUCAAAUAAACUAUUAGUCAUGCAUCCAACUUGAUCAUUUCUACUUUUCAAGUUGUGAUCAUGUCCACUAAAUGCAUUAUGUAUCAGUGUAAAAAAAAUCACAGUAUGAGAAAGAUAUAACUGCUCUAUCGUAUCCGUUUUAAAUGGGAAUAAGCAAGCAUGUCAAGUUGUUGACACGGGCAAUACAGUGCAAUUUGUAUCAUUAUUAAGUCUUCUAAAUUUAUGCAAAGGCCUUUAAGGCAAUAGUACAUCAGUAGUGCUCAUUUGUAACCAUUACACAUAAUGGACGAUAUAAGAUUCCGAAAAUAAUGUAGUCCGUGUUCUUGAAGAGAAAGCCGAUGGAAUUUUUUAAUAGCAUCAUAUGGGCCAAAGAGCAAGGGAAAUUCCAGAUCCUGGAAACUGUUACAGGUUCAAUUUUCUGAUCAAGGAGAAAAAGUCCUACAGGAAACAUAAUCAUGAUCAAACCUAAUUGAACACUCAAGUUCACAACUUCACAUACCAUAUGAUAUCGAUGCAGUUUCAGAAGAAACUUUUUUGAACAUGGGGUUAGAACAAUGUGCAAUCCCCUUGACUACAGCAAGGUUCUCAAAUUAGUACAUUUGCCUCGUCCCCAUCCAUAUGCUACAAAGUUUUCUAUGUAAACCCCACAGUUGAAGUCAGGAGAUCAACAACUUUGCAAGAACAUCACGGACCUCCAAAUCUGAUUAUUUUUUCAAGACUUCUACAUAUUUAGCAAAAAAAAAAUGAUUGUAGAGUGUAGAACAGUACGUAUGGACGGCUUUGCAAACGCACCACUCAGAUUUCCCUCAUUGCCAACAAACCACAGAAAAGGAACCCAAACCUGUUACCACAUCCAGGCCAUGGAAAACAGGCAAACCCCACUCUUCAGGUGGCAAAGUGGGAAGCAUCAGCUGUACAUUCAGAAAGUUCUCCAAAGACAUCAAUAUAUUGGCAACUGUUCCAAAACAAAAUUAAUGGAAUUGUGUGCUUUCUUGAGAAUAAAAGCAACACAAAAAUAAACACGAAUAGACUAUAGGUAGCUACAAUCUUUUGUAUUUUUUUUGUCUAUUUUCCUGCUCUGUAGCUCUUAAGCAAAAGGAUUCCUACAGCUGGUGCGAAGUAACAGUUGAAAGCUUUGUAAGUCUAUAUUGGCCAGAAAUUCCGGUAACUCUGUGGCCAUCAUUCAUGUUGAUAAGCUUAGAAGUAAUACCAAAUUUGCUACAAAUGGUUGCAGUUACAACCACUCUUGUGUUAUCUGCUAAGAUAGCGACUAGCAACCUCCACUCCUUUCAAUAUUCGGCUUACUCUCCAUGCUAGUGGCCUCAAUACCAGAGCACAAAAUAUCUUGUGGCAUUCUCAUAUCACUCUGUAAAUGUUGACUAAAAACGAGAACCAGAGCAUCCCCAGUUGCUUAACAAGGGAUUAUCUUCACAUGAUCAGAAUUGAUACGGAGUAACUAAUUAGCCAUUAAAUUAUUUAUAAUUUCUGCUUGUUUCAAGGGCAAGAUGCCCCUGGUGCCUUAUCUAUUCAGGUGUAGGCGGUAGGUCUGGUCCUAGAUAACCCUGAUGUCUAAACUCUAUUUCUUUGUUUCACACAAUAUAAGAGCUGCUUCUGGCCAAAUCUCAUAACAAUUGCUAAAAGAAGAACUCUUAACCACAAAUUAAGAAACAAGCAGCAAGAAGAAGUAACCUUGGCGUAGUAGUCCUUCCAGACUCUGCGGGCGAUCUGGUGACCGCCGAGAUCGAAGGUCUUGAACUUGAUCUGGCCGAUGCUCAGCUCCUCCGACGUCGGGUACUGCGUCGGCUGGUGCUGCACAAGCCGCUGUCAUCCAAUCCAGAGUACAGACAUACCAGUCAGACCAAAUCAAAAAUCUCAAGCAAGAAGGGAAGAUUAGAUUCCUUUCCGCAGGUAGAAAGAGGUAGUAGAGACUACAGAUCGAAGGAAAAGAACAGAUACCUCGUCCUUGAGCAUGUGGAGGAGGGUGGUCUUGCCGGCGUUGUCGAGGCCGAGGAAGAGGAUCUUGGCCUCCUUCUGCCACAGCCCCAGCGACGCUAGCACCCCGUAGAACCAAUCCACCAGAAACAUCUCUCCUCGCCCUGUUCUCGGCGAUACUCCUGCUCCUCCUCUUCGCACCAGACCGAACAAUCGAUGCCCGCCUCGAUCUGUAUCUCUCUCGCCGCCUUGUCUCGGAGAGAAUUUUAUCUUGCCCUUCUCCCCUACUUCAUGUGGCUAUGUGUUCUGUUCUAGAUUCUUCGCUGGCGCUGCGUGCACUUGCUUCCAGAAGAACAUAGCGUCGUUACUUUUAGUCCAAUUUUCUAAUGGAAUUUCUUUUCUGAUUAAUUCUUUCGCUUAAUUAACGUAUGACGGAAUGACAAGCGGUGCCCUUUCCGAUAGAAAAAAAAAAGGUUUGCCAUAUAGAAUUUUGAAAUUCAUUUUAAAUUUUAAGAUCAACUUGUUUGGCUGGCAUAGAAUUGGAUACAUUAAUUUAGUCUAAAUUUUCAUGAAUCGCAUCUAAAUCUAAACUUCUGUCUAAAAGUCAUCAAUUUAUUUAGAUUUUUUUUCUCAUAGUACAGAUCCAUGUGGCAGACAAACAUUAUUUUUUCAAUCUAAAAUUUAAAUUCAACCAAAUGAAAUCCUGUGAAAUUUUUGAUUUCAUUUCAUUUUCUUGAUAGUAAACUGCAUGAGUGACCAAUAUUGUAUAGUAGGAACCUAAAUUCACAUCCGUGGGGAUUUGAACUCCGGUGUUGGGAUCCGAGCUAGGCUCACUCACUCCCUUUGAUUUCAUUUCUAUCAAAUGAAAUAAAAUGAGGGCUACCAAAGAACUGUUAUAAAAUUAAAAAAAAUUAAUAUCCCUGUUCUUAAAUAUGACAAAUUCCAGCUUUGUUCUAAGUCAAACUUCUUCAAGUUUGAUCAACUUUAUAGAAAAACUUAUUAACUCUAUAACUCUAAAUUAGUAUUGGGAAAUUUGUUAUAUAUACUCCCUCCGUUCCUUAAAUUAUGGCGUAUAUUGUUUUCUUGACCAAACCUUUGACCAAAGGUUACUCCAUCAACGUGUAACUUAGGUGAUAUAAAUCAUAAUCAUAGACAAGUAUUUUUUUAAUACAAGUGCAAUGAUAUCAAUUUUAUUUAAAAAAAAUAUUGAUAGGCUAAUUCUUGGUCAGAGACUUGGUCAAAGGAAACAAUAUAUACGUCCUAAUUUAAGAAACGAAGGGAGUGUAUAUUCAUAGCAUAACUAUUUGAUUAUAGAUCUUAGGUGAAUUUGUUAUCUUGAAAAGGUUGACUUAAUACAAAGUUAGGGCUUCUUAUAUUUAGAUAUGGAAGAAGUAUUCUAAAAAUAUUAUAACUCUUUCUAUAUAGACAUUUUUUCCCUUCAAAUUCCAAAGGUUUUUUUCAAUUACAAAAUUGUAUCACAUGAUACUGCGCUUUAUGCACUUCCUACGUUUACAAUUAUACUAUCUUUCUGAAAUGUUUGAAUCGGAUUGACAAUUCCUACCAAAUGUGGUUCAAAAUCAUUUUUCAAAAACUAAGAUCUAUGGAAUUCCAUCCUAUGAAUCAAGUCCUAUGAAUCAAACAAAAGAUAUGAACAGCUCCCAUUUUUUGGAAGAGACUUGCUGGCUUACAGCCGGCUCCAGCUAAAUCACUGGAGACGAAUACAUACUCUGGGAUGUCGUUUUCGAAAGACAGGAACCUUUCUCAAGAAGAGUAGCACCAUGUUGAAGCAAUGUAGGCCCACCUUAUAUUAUGCAAGCAGCCAAACAUCUGAUAUGACAUUAUACCCCAAAACCUGAUGAAGGAAAAACUAUGUACUGCUUUACAUGCAUGAAGAUAAGAAAACUACAUCAUCCGACUAUCCCGGUUAAACUGACCAAAACCUAAGGCGAACCAUUUUAUGGACUCCCCUAUUACAAGUUCAUCUUUCAUAGCAAGGGUAAUUGCUCGACAAUCUGCAGGCGCACACACACACACACUCCUGAUCUUACACUCGUUUCUGUUUGCUUUCUAACAAGUGCACAGUAACCUAGCUGGCAUCAGCAUACUCGUCAAUGUGGAGGACUUCAGUGUGCCUCUCUCUAUCUUUGAUUUUGAUCCGCCGCUGGGUUGCUGGUAGCUGAUGAUGCUGGCGUCCUGCCAUUGGCCACGCCGUUAUCUGCAGGAGCAGAUGUUCCCCACUUCCCAUCAGACUCCAAUGGCUCCAUCACUUUAACAGAUCCAUCCGACAGCCCAACCGCAAAUUGAUUUGGCUCUUGGGGAUGUGCAGCGACAACAUAAGGGUAAACGGGCGGAUUGCUGGAGCCAGAAGAGAUGACAGUUGUAAGACCAUAGGCACCAUGAAAGAGUAAAGUAUGGCCAUAAUCUAGAAUUUAUAACGGAAUAAGAAUUUAAGUGUAAAAAUUUCAGAAGUUUGUUAUCCCAACGUUUCUUGUACUUUACACUGUUAGUUUGUACUUGUAAUUGGUUAAUGGAUGCAAACAGCCAACACCCAUCCUAUAUGCUUCACAAUAAUAUCAAGAAGUUGGUGAUGACCUAUCUUGUACUUCGCCAAUCAUCAACUAAAUACAGACUGUGCACAAUAUUUGCAAAGCCAAAUCAGGAAAUCAGGUCUUACCAAACUAGUGUACACAUUAAGUCAAUCCACCGAAACCACAUCAGAUAUUCCUUCACGGUACAAAAACUUAGGAGAAUGAAAAUGCCAGAAAUUUUUUACCGCUCAAAAUUGGCCAAAGAACCAUUAGAUGAUAUUCCUUGCACAUCAACAUUUGAUACUUGCAUACCAUUUCCUACACCACAGUUCAGUUGGCUAGAGGCGCCUUUGCUCGCCCAGCCCACCUGUGUUAAGAGGCCUGGACUCUGCACAGGGAUCAUGGUGGUUCUUCUAAAUAAAAUGCUGCAGAUGCUAGGCCUGUUUUUUUUUCUUCAUUCUCUAAUCUCUACACUACAUUCAUUGUUCUAACAAGCUCAAAGCCCCCUUAUCUUUCUUGUUUUGUGAAUUGACAAGCUUGUGCAAAUAAUAUUUAAUGGUUUAAAAUGUUUCUGAGACUGGAGUCUUGAUGCUUUAGGUUAUUAUUAAAAAAAAUAGCAUCCAUUAAUUUGCCCAAUAUAUGUAUUUCCCAGAUUAGAUCUUCCCAAUUUUGUAUCGAGAUUUUGCUCCCCAUUAGAUAUUGGAUGGUUAUAUUAAACUUAUAAUUUAUCAAUAUGCAAAUGAAAAUUGUUGCAGCACACACUACUUCAUAUCAAGUUUGGGUGAAUAUCGUGCAACGAUGUACGAAAAGAAAAUACCUGUUUGUGGCUGUCGAAGACAUGUAUGCAGACGAUGCAAUUCGGCAUCUUAAUCUCAAGUUCUCCGCAUCAAAAAUGGCAACAUUACCAUCAGUAAAAGCAGCAAAAACCAGUUGGCUGUUGCAUGAGUAUGAUGCGUGUGAUAUGGGAGCUGACAAAGUGCCCUGAGGUAUCCACUGCAGCAAGAUUGUAAAAGAGAUUUAACAGACAAUAACAAAAUGUUUCGAUCAAAUAUAUGAUAUGAUAUCUACCUGAUAGAUUCUCUCCAUUUUGGAUGCAUCAUAUAUAGCUAACUGAGUCUCAUGGACUACUAACAAGCAAGUUUGGUCAGAAUUAAACUGGACCCUAGUAUCUCCUGACGGAGUCUUCCCAGCUGGCAUUUGUAUAGCAACUGAUUUCUUCUUUUCCCAAGUAUCGUUGGCCCACACACAUAACUGCAAAAAGGAAUGGAAGCGACCUAAUUAUCUUUUUGAAGGAAAAAAAAGGCCACAAAAGGAAGCCAAAUAAUAAAACGUCGAUCAUCUCAAUGCCAUAAUAUGAGAACAGUGAACAAUUGACCAAUGAAAACGUGAAAAGAAAAAGGGUGCUAUUAGUAGUAACCUGUGCAUCAGCGCCUGAAGAAACAAGUACAUGAAGACUGUUGGAAAAGGCCAACCCAGUUAUCCUCUUUUGAUGUCCUUUGAGCUUAGUUCUAACCUGAAAAAAUAAAGUUCAAUGUAGCUGCAAUGCAAGAUAAUCUGUGAAAUUUUCAAGCAUUCAGUACCUACCUCAUCUACCCUGACAUUGUAAAUGUGGAUAGUUGAAUCUUCCAUUCCAAUCGCUAUGAUGUUAUUGUCUUGAGGGUGAAAUGCUAAAAAGGUUGAUGCUGGUGGAGGUGGCAUGAAUGUUGUCAUCACCUGCAGGAAAGAAGUUAAUGUUUGGGAAAAUGCACCUAAUUCGUUAUCACAAGAGAGAUAAAUAACAGGGUACAAGGGUCUCAUGGGCCACCCAAGAUAAUGGGCCUGAUUGGUUCAUACACAUAUAUACUACAGACUUAACAGAUGCAUGAUAAAAUUUCCGCAGGUCUGGCAAUACAUCCAAAUAAAAGCGACAUUACCUUAAAUGUCAUCAUGUUAAACAGUGAGACCUUUCCACCACAUGCAGACAUCACAUACGAAUCAUUCUUGGAGAGGGCAAUGCAUGGGACUGACUCCUCAGGACUUGUGUCUCCUGGAUCAUUUGUCAUGACAAGACCACUGUUUGGUUGCCACAGUUGUGGCUCAAUACUGGCUGUGGCCUGCUCAGUAGAAUGGAAAACUUUAUAGAAUGAACUUAAUUAACCUAAACACCAAAAAUAAUUUGAGAAGUAAUAUAUACCCUUGCAGUUGGAUUCUGAUCACUGCGAUUCCAUUUCCACAGCCUUUGGAUGGCAUUAGACCCUAGCGCUAACAAACCGACACCAGAAUUUGUGUACAGAAGUCUGACAACCUGCGUACAAACAUUGGUAACCUUCUUAGAAGAUCUGCGAUGAGAAGUAAGAACACAGAAUCAAGAGAGAUGGAUCGAACCUUGCUGGCCUGGUCUGGAGUUUGCGGCAUUGUAACCACACGGAAUUGCUGGGUAUUUAGAAUUUCCAUCAGCUCCCAAGGUUUCACUUUAUCAGGCUUUUCUUCCGAUAUUCUUGGCUUUAUAUCUAUGCUUCUAGAUGAUGGAUCACCGCCAUUCUAUAAAUUAAUGAUUACGUAAGAUUAUGUUUAAAUUGUUGGCAAUAAGGUCAUCAUAAAGGCACUAAAACAGAUGAAACUUGUCAAAUGUUUUUCUCUCUGGAUAAGCAUACCAGCAUAGGAGAUGGCUUUGCAGGAGAGUUCCUAUCUAAGUGAUCCAUUCGGCUAAUGUUCGGAGAGAUCCCCGCAACAACAGGAGCACCUGAGACCUAUUAAUUGAACAUCCAAGGUCAGGAACUCCCUCAAAACUAUACCCACAACCACAACCUAGCAUGGCAGGAAGGUAUGUGCUUACCUUCAUGGCAGAAGCUUCAUAUGGCGAUCUAAAUGCUUCGAAAGGCCGGUUCCCAAAAGCCCGUAAAGAUCGGAGCCCGUCAGAAUUUGCAAGUAUCUUAAAACCAUUGUCUACUGUAGUAACAGCAAGAAGAUUCCCUUCUUUAUUGAACCUCAAUCGUGGAAGGCCCUGGUAGAAUGUAAAAAUGUUAGAUUAGAAAAAGGAAGAUUUCUUUGAAAAAAUUAUAGGGAACAGAGACUGACUGGCAAGCCUCCGUCGGCGUCAAUGCAGGUAAGCAUGUUGGUGUUGUCAACAUCCCAAAACUUAAUUUGGUUAUCUUCGCCAGCAGCCAAAAUGUGAUUCUGAGCUGUAUCAAACUGCACAACACCCUGUACUACACCAGACGGCUUUUUACGGAAUCCAGAAUAUGUCCUCUUGAUAGAUCCCUCACUUUCAUUCCACUCAACCAAAAAUGAGUCUCCCUCUUUGCUUGUUCCGCAUGAGAACAACCUUCAUAUCAACGACAAGCAAAAUAUUACAUCAACAACUCAACAUUUCUGCUGAUUAAAAUAACAAAUUUAUGUUUACCUAGUUCCAUCGGCACUAUAGAGCAUAGUAGUACACCAUUUCCCUGGAGCGUCAUAGUCCACCCUUGAUCCCACAUUGUCAUAAAGCCAUGCCUUAAUUUUCCCAUCAAGGGAAGUUGAGAAGAUAAACUGCAGGGAACAUAAGAAAAUAUGAUUCACUGCACCAAAUUAACGUAUAUGUGCUUGAAACUUUUUACACAGAAUCUAUCUCAUUUCCCUUCAACAGAUAUAUCACCAAAUAUAGAAAUAAUUACAUGAUGGCUAAUGCUGCCUCAAUUCACAAUGGAGUCAAGAGGAACUUUUCUACUACAGAAUAUGCAGCAACCACUCUGAGAUGUUCGUGCCUAGUUAUUCUAUUAACACAACACACCUGAAUAGUCUCUUUGUGGUGAGGGCAAAUAGAAUACACUGACGCCUCAUGCCCUUCAAACGAAAAUAGUUUCUGUCCAUGCAUAUCCCAGACCUACAAAAUGGAAAGGAAGUUGCAUGAAACCAGGCCAGGGGAGAAAAUAAAUAGAUGAUAACCAUUCAAGACAUAUCUAAUACCUUUAUCAGCUUGUCAUCUCCACAAGUGACAACACAAAGUGUCUUAUUUGGCCGGGAGAAUGCUAUGUCAUUAACUCCUCCCAGAUGAGCUUCGAUCUGACAUUAAGUUUUUUUUGACAAAAGUAAUUUAGUACAAUGAAAUGUAACAUCUACAAAAUUGAAGUUCAAUCUAUAAUCUUAUGAUUAGGGCACAAUCAGAAACUGUGCAAACCUCUAGAGCUUGGCGUGUUUCAUUUGGCUGCUGGUAUGCAUGCAGAUGGAUCAAAUGUUUUGUGAAUGCAACUCCUAAAACCAAAGAAGGGAAGCUCGAGCAUUAAUACAGGGAACUUGAGAAGCAAUACAGGAUUACUGACUGAAAACUGAAAUAUUGAUACUAACCUAUCAAGUCUCCGUCAGGGCUCCAUGUAACUCGAUUAAUCGACAUGGAAGAGUCUUUAGCCACAGCACUCUUUUGACAGAAGAGGUAAAUAAUGAGGCACAUAUAUAAGAGCAGAACAUGUAGAUGCUUGCGAACAAAGUACGAGACUACAAUUAAAGCAAACAGGAGUAAAAUACAUUCAGAACUUUGACUUGUACUCAAUUACCUGAAAUUGUGUUGAGCAUGCUUGCAUGUCCCAAAUUUUGAAGGGCUUUGAAACCAGUCUCUCACGCAGACCAAUCUCCCAAAGUGUUAUUUCACCAUUAGCAGAUCCAACUAUUGAGCAGUAAGCAUGACAAGUUACUAUAAACAUUCGCACAAAUCACAUGAAACACCGUUUGUACUAGCGAGUUGGCACUGCAUAUAUGUUUUUAGAUUGAGUAAAUUAAAUCUUGGUCGUACCUAGCAGUAGUGUCUGCCGGGAAGGAUGAAAGUCCAUGCUAGUUACAUUAGAUCCCUGUGAUAAUGUACAAGCUACUGUCCUAGGAAGGUCAUCCAAUGACCAUGAAGGUUGAGGAAUAGGUGCAGGAUAGGUGGCCUGUCAAAUAAGUAUGGAUAAUCUUUUUAGCUCAUACAAAAAGUAACAUGGUCAUAACUUGACUGCAGAUACAAUAUUACCUCAUCAACACCAUGUCCACUGGGCCUCAAACGCUUCAUUAGUUGCUCGGAUUCUGCACUUUGAUAGUCUGUUAUAGUUGGACGUUUCAUCAUGGAGAUGGCUGGGAAAUAAUGUAAUAUAAGUAUUAACUAAGUCACAGCACAUGAGCACAUUUCCAAUCACAGCAUAGAAAACAGAAAUGAUAAAAAUUUCAUGCUCAUUUCUGUUGCCACAUAGCUAAAGCUCUUAAUGUUGAAAGAACCAAGAAGCCAGCAUUACUAAAUUAAUCGAUCCAUCAUCCAUGUAACUGUGUAACAUUAAUACAUGAUCAUACUCCUCAAUAUAGACGCCAAUAGAAAGGAUUACAUAUAGCUGUAGAAGGAGGCCAAAUAGAACCAGAGAGAUAAAAGAGCCAUAUAACUCUCUCCAAAUCAGGCCUACAGAAAGAACCGAGUUUUGGCAAUAACAGUGGUGGUAUACAGGUAUGUAUGUGAUUGUUCAUGUACAGACUUACAUAAAGAAGUGCACAAUGCUCCAGAGAUGAACUAGCAGAAAUUAAGGAAAAUCGAACUUUGUGCUACAAAUUUAAAUGUUGCACGCAAAAAUCUGUAAUUUUCAUUGUAGAUUCAUUACUUUUUACAAAAGUUUAGUACAGACAUAAAAACUAGAAUACGUAGACCUCAACAACCACACCUUGUACUUUACCACCAUGUCACAUGGAUAUCCCCAAAUAGCAUAGAAGUAAACUCCCAUGUUGGUUCCAAGCGUUCUAAUCAGUUGAGACCAAGGUAACAAUACGUCUUUCUCAGAUACAAAUUAACAACACAUCCACUCCCCAGAAAUAACUUUCUCAUUUAAAAACCAAGAAUAAACUCACAAUAACAGGACAAGACAUCCACAAUAAUGGAAUCAAUCUGUGUUAGGUAGUUAGCACUAUGGUAACCCCAGUAAGGAAGGCUAACAAACUUGGAAGAAUGUUUAGCAUGAAUGGAGUGGUUACAACUUAAUAAAUGGUAUAAAGUUAGGGAAAUUGAAAUUCCAAUGAAAUAGAAAUCCACUGCAAUUUGCACAGGCUAAUAACUUAAUAUACAAUGCCUAGUGUUGAAUGACAGUGAAUUUUAUAUAAGUAUGGACAGAUCUAGCCCAGGAAAUACUACAAGAACUGUAUUAAUACCUACCUAAAAAUAUCUAAAGAGUAACAACUGAAAUUAUCAACUAGAGAAGUGUCAAGUUCAGUGCAAAGAUGCAUGCCAACAGAAAUGUACCAGUUUACCACAAUACCUUGAUUUGGUGGAACAGGCAUAGAUGAUGCUGCCACAGCAGCAGACUGAAUAGAUGAUGAAACAGCAGCAUUUGUCAUCCAACCAGCUAAAGAUGGACCAGCAGGAGGUGGAGGCUGAAAUGGCUGUAUGAAUGAACAUGUUGGAUGUAAGUAACAAAAGCAUUCAUAAAAGCACAUAUAUGCAGAAAAUGAUUAACAAAAAACAUACAGGAUGACCCGUCAGUGGUGGGUAUGUGGUACCAGCCUUUGGAACAGUGGCCAAUGGUACUGGCACUGGUGAAGUACGUGCUCCGUUUGGAGGAUUGCAAGUAUGAUCAGUGAAUAAGGUCUUGAUAUCUGGAUUGGGCCGAGGGUUCUUACAAAGUUGAUGUUGCCAGUUUAAGCUGCAUUUUCUCAAAGAAUUAUGAACUCGCAAUUCACCCGCUCAUGUAAGAUCAAAGGGAACAUGAAAACAGAAGGUCAGAUAACGAAAACCCACUAGAUUACCUUUGGUUAAUUAAAGUUCGCAGGCGUGAUGCCUUAAGAGUUGGAAAAACAAGUUUUUCCCGGAAAAGGGGAUUUGCUUCAAUUAGUUUUUUGAGCUCAAUCAGCAUAAUACUGCGAGCAGAUUUGGUAUCCCCAUACUUAGAUAAUUGCUCAUUUUCCCUGCAGAAAAAUAACAUAUGAACUUGAGCUAUUUAAAAAAAUAGUAAACCAAGAACAUAAAAUUAUAAAAGGCAUAUUUAGAUGACAAAAGAAGUCAAUCAAACAAUAAAUUUACAAAAAUAAUGAAGCACCACUGUUAAGCCAUCAUCAGUUCAUCACAUCUUUUCCCAAGAAACAAUAUGGAGGAAAAAAUCACAACUUAAAAACUAUCAAACGGCUAUUGCACAUAACCUUAAUAUUGCUAUGAGUGACCAUGUCACUUAGCAAAUAACUGGAUUAUCAAAGCAUUAGCAUGUGUACACAGUUCCAGCAAGCGUGCUCGCUCAACUACAGGUUCAUUUAAAUUCGUGACAUACCAAUAAACAAUGAACCUGGAUUACAAACAAAUUGUAACCACACCAACCAGAAAAGUUCAAUGCUCUAGAAGUAAAACACUUUAGACUUGUUUUUUUGUGUGUGUUUCAACAGUCUGAAGCAAUUGAACAUUUGGCAUUGCAUUGCUGGUCAUGGCUCACACAAUGGAAGAAACUAAAGAAAUAAUAAACACAAACAUCAAUUACAAGAAGCUUUCAGAAUGGCUUCAUCAUGGAGAAUAGGUGAGAAUGUAUAAUAAUGAUAACAUGGGGCAUGAAGAAGAACCUAACCUGAAAUUCUCAAGAGUAAGAAGUUGUGUUAUCUCUUUAUAUAACUCCUCAUUGAAUGUCGAGAAGACUUUAAGAUCCUUGACAAGAAUAUCUACUGCCUUUGCUCUAUCAUGCCUGUAGAAAUAUUACAGGAAAUUAGUAAAUUUAUUUCCACCCAAUGCCAAAACAUGGAAUGGAAAAACCCCAAACAUUUGCAGAAUGGAGUGUAAUUUCCCAUCAGACACACAAGAAUAGUACCUAUCAAGUGCUUCCAAAUACUUCUGCUUCCUGAUCUCAAAGAAGAUCUUCAUCGAGUACCUAUUGUCAUCCACCUUGGUGAAACCUGAAAGGUACCUUUCCACCUCAUCCCACUCCCCAGCAUGGACCUUCUCCUCAAAGUACUUGAUGUUGAAGUAGAAUGCUGACUCUUGUUCAAGCCUACAUCAUAAUGCACGACAGGAAUUACAUCUCACAAGAUCUAACGACAAAAGAUUAGAAUGUUCCAUUGCGCUAAACACAAAAGAAUUCCCACAGCUGAAAUGGGUAAAGCAGAUAUAAACAUUCAGAAGACCCGAACAUGUUGCAAAUUCUUGAGCUGACAACAUGGCUAGAUGGCCCGAUAUCAUCAACUCUUGAGCUCAGUGUCUUCCGAUAUCAAACCAGGUCUAUGUAUGACUAUAAGUACCUGAGGUGGCACACACGACCUACAAGGUAAGCUCGAACAGCACUGACCACAGUACAGUAAAACAGGACACAAAAAAGAAACAGAGAUUCGGACCAAUCGAUUAGAGGAACGCAAAUGCACCGCAGAGAUCACCUGCUUACAAUUAACCCAAUGAGCGCUCAAAGUUCGAACAGUGCCACAAAUUUCAGUUUACAGCAAUGCUGCAAUUUUGGUAAAUGCCAGCUGCGUUACCAUUUACUGAUCAGGAUUUGUUCGCUAGACAGCACUUUUUAUAGGGGACGACAAUGCCAGACCUAUUACCAGACUAACCAAUACUUAAUUCAGAAGAAUUCAUUCUUUCUACCAGUUGAAGUAGCCAGAAGGAAUAAAAAAAAGUCUCAUUUACAGGUAAAACAAACUAGUCCAUGAUGACACACUGAGAAGAAAACACAAGACACGACACAUGCGAGCUCAAUAUUUCAAAUCUACCCCUUAACUAUGUAAAUCUAAAUCUAAUCUAAAGUAAAAGUAAAAAUGCAAUAGAGCCCAACAAAACCAAUUUGACCAAUUAAAUUAAAUAUAAUUAUCACGGAGAAAACCCAGAAAGUGUCUUCUGACCGGACCAGCCGGGGGAAACACGAAACUUCGUAGGAAUUUACCGCACGCACGUAGAUAAUUUUUUGCCCUGAACUCAAAACCCAGAACAAGUACGGGCAGAGGACGGGAAAAAAACCUGGAGAUUUAUUUCGCAAAAAUCGCAAAAAGUAAAUUAAAAAAUAUAUAUAACGCACCGAACCGAAGCAAAUCCCUAGGGGCUUCUGUGCCCAACCAACCACCAACCGGAAGAAAAAAAAUAUAGCCCACGGGCCAGCGGAGGAGAGAGAAACAGGGGCUACCCACUUGUGCACGGUCUCCUUGAACUUCUCCUCGUCGAGGAACUGGAGGAUGAGGAAGACGAGCUCGCGGCUGAGCGACGACAUGACGCCCACGCCGCCGCACAAGAGCUCGAUCUGGUCGGCGGACGGCGCCGGCGCGCGGGCCGAGGAACCUCGGCUGCGUCGGGAGGCGGGGGGGACGCGAAUCGCCCGGAUUCGGAUGCGGCGGUGGCGAAUUCUAGGGUUUCGCCGUCGUCGUCGCCGCCCCUCUCGUGAAGAGAGAGAGAAGAGGGCGAGAGAUGUGGAACGAGGGAUGCAGGGCGAGAAAGAGAGAGAGAAACUUUAGUCUCGCUUUCUUCGAUGCGUUGCAGACCUCUCGCCCUUUUCUCUCUCCCCACGCCACCCCCACUGGCUUAUCUAGAUACCCGCAACCCCUUAUUGAUAAGUUACUUCCGUUAUUGAUACGAUCUUGAGGUUAUCUGAUAGGCCGGAAGAAGCGGAAUCGAAGGCCGCGGGAUUAAAUCGGGUGGAUAUUCGUGAGGUGGCGUCCGGUCGUGAGGGCGACGUGCGCGCGAGACGAUACGAGUACCAGAUGGACUAGGACACGAUACGAUACGAACACGAAACGAUACGAGAGGACACGUUAAAUUGGACGCCACGUUAAACUGCGCCGCGAGUGGAUGCUUCUGGCUGGAUCUCGUGCUUCUGUUGCUCGCGGUUUUCUCGUAUCGACUUGCUCGCGUGGAACGAGCAGUACCAGCACCGACUGGGUGUGAUGGGACCCCGGUGACGUGUUGUGGUCGUGCACUGUCUUAGCCAACCGAUCCAGAAAAAGGAUCAGAGCGAUUGCGGUCAAUACUUACGUACUCCUUGUUUUGUACUCCUAUGUUUUGAUAUUUCUCGCACGACGAGGAAUAAAUAUUUUUAAGUUGACUGUAAAACCAAAAUAUGGAAUGAAUUUUAUCAGAUGGCUAUGAAAAUAGCUAUAGCCUACUCCCUCCGUUACUAAAAACUUGUCGUGGUUUUAACGUAAAUUUGCACUAAAACCACGACAAGUAUUUAAGAACGGAUGAAAUACGUACAUUGGCCAACUAAUACUAGGAUCUCUCUAAAACAAACUAGGAUUUCAUGUUUUUGUUUAAAAGAACAUUUUAGAGUUCUGAAAAUUAUGAUUUUUCCACAUAUGCUUGUAGAUAGCCACUAUGUGUGCAAAACAGUGGGAAGCAUGUUUUUAUUUGUGGUCUACAAAAAAAGACAAGAAUUUAAACUGUAAUGAGUGUAGUAUUUGCUAUUAUCGAUCCACAUAUUUAUUUAUUUUUGUGUCACAGACAAGUGGAAAAUAAAUCAUUGGUUUUCAUAGAUAUAUAUGAAACUUCUACAAGUGCACUUGGGAUUUGUUUGUCCACAUAAAACUUUGAAAUAUGGUUCCUCAUUUUUUUUAAACACACAUGGAUACUGAUUUCCAAUAGCCAAGCUCCCGAACUCUGUUGGGACUACCGUUAUAUCAGUUUUUUUAUGUCUGUUGUAGAUGAUGCGGAGUACAACUUGAAAUAGAGGAUUGAAGUAUGAGACGGACCGCAAAUACCACACUAUUAACUACACACUCAUCAAAUGUUUUGAAGCAGAUAUUAAUGAAAAAUCGCAUCCUUCUAAUUAAACCAUAUUUCUUAUCUUUGUUUGUAGUACGCGGAUCCUUAUCUUUGUAUUUAAAGAAACAUGGAUCCUGAUUCCCAAGAGCCUCGUUGGGACUACGACUAUAUCAGUUUCUUUUUUUGUGUCUAUUGUAGAUGUAAUAAAACGUAGGGAAAUAGAGGACUGAAGUGUGAGACAGACCGAAAUACUAGAACGCACUCAUCAAAAUAUUUUGAAGCAAGUAUUAAUGAAAAAUAAGACGUCCUUCGAAUUAAAACGUAUUGCUUAUCUCUGUUUGUAGCACACGUGUCGACAUUGUCGCUGAUAUAUAUCAUAAUUUGACAUUUACUUAUGUACUCCCUCCGAUCCAUAAGUGUCGGGAAGAUUUAGUACAAAGUUAGGAGUAUAACUUUGUACUAAAUCCCCGAUGCUUAUUAUGGAUCCGAGGGGUAUCUAACUAUGUUUAGAAGAAAAGAAUAUAUUUUUAUGUUUGUAACUAACUUUGUACUAAAUCCCCGAUGCUUAUUAUGAAUCCGAGGGGUAUCUAACUAUGUUUAGAAGAAAAGAAUAUAUUUUUAUGUUUGUAGGUAUCGCUCCCCUUGCACGUGUGAAUAGUUUUAUUACACCGAGACAUGUAUGGUUCAUAGCCCAAUUUUAUCGCACUUCCACACAAAACAUGGUGAAAAAACUUAGUGGCCACACUAUUACAGAAUUUAGCCAAGGCACAAAUCUAUGACAUGUCACAACCGCAACACUAAAAUAAAUUGUUACAUUUGUGGCAAAGUUCCGUGAAGCGUAGCUUGAAACUAUAUCAGGGCAUGACGCAAAGGUGUGCUGCGACAAAGUUCCUGGCCAACGACUGCUCCUUAGCCCUGUCCAUGUUUUAAUGCAGGAGCACGGUGUGACAAACACCAUGAGCUAGCUAGCCACACUUAUGGUCAUGCACGCCAUGGCGUCUGACAAUGAGACAACAGAACGAGGGAGUAGUAUGUAUAUAUACAUAGGAGGACAAGAGAAAUUUCUACGCGGGACUCAUCCCAAGAGUCUCCACGAAGCAGAUCGAGCGCGCGGAAUUUCUGGUUAAGUUCGACGAAGCAGAGCAAACGAGGGCCACGAAACGGUCCACCAUAUCAAAGUACGUUUGGAGAAUCCAGAUCUCGGAAUGCAACAAUGCAAGUGAAGGCAGAGUACGUGAUACGGGGACCAGCUAGUGAUGAUGAUAGUCCGCGACGGGACCUUUUCUUCUCCGGCUCGCCGGCGCGCCCCCGGAACUGCCGCCCCCAUCCUUUCCUCUCGCCCACGCCGCUGUGGUGACCGGGCGCGCGCGGAGCCAAGGCGAGCCCGAGCAUGUGUUACGCCGAAGAGAAAAGUCACCCACCGGAAAAGCGAACGAAGAUGCACCGCGAAGAGAAAGAGAGGGAAAAAAAAAAAGAGAGAGUUGGCGAGCGAGCGAGCGAGCGGGCACACUAGCCGACACGCACAGCGCGCCGAGGACAAGGACGCGCCCUCCCAUGAUCCCAUCCCCCACUCAGCCAAUCUCGCCUUGUCCGCCUCGCUCUCUCUCGACGCACACGGGAAAGACCGGGAAAAGAGAAGAGAAGAUAAAGAGACGAGAGUCACGACCCGAACGGACACGAGUGGCCGGUGCGAGACAUCGUGACUCUAGAUACAGCGCACGUAUCGUGUCGCGGUUGUGUGUGACACAGAAGAGAGCGACGGGUCUCGUUCCAUCUCGUCUGCGUCCUCGCUUCGGCUUUCCACGGAGGAGCGUGGGGGUGGGGUUGGGGCCCAGGUGCUCGCGGCACGGCACGGGUGUUUCUUGCGUGGGUGCGGAUCUCUCUGGAAAGCAAAGAGGCACGGCUCGAGAUCGAAAGCACUGCGUACGGGUGCGAGAUACCGCGCAGCGGGAGAAAGGCGUCAUCGAUCUGGAUACUGGGCCGAUAAAUGCAGGAGAAAUCGCCCGGUUGGUGUAAUAGACCAAAGCCAGACGGGAAAAAAAACGCAUUUGUUUUUUUGUUUUUUGUUUUGGGGGACUGGCGAUCGGAGAAGACGUGGACGGGGGGAGGGAGCGAUAGGCACGACACGACCGGAUUGGUGGUGGCACAAGGAGUAGUGUUCGUGGGUGAGCCGAUCGGGGUUGGGCUGGGGUCGAACAGGUCGCCAGCUGCCACGAAGCUUUUAUUGUUUUCUUUGUUUCUUUUUUUUCUCGACCGCGCUGGGGAAGAAACUUUCUCUGUCUGUGUGUUUGUGUGUGGGAGGGAGGGAAAAAGAUUCGUUUUGGACGUCGGACAAACGCUGCGGCAGUAGCAGGGUACAGUCACCUGCGGUGAGCCUGAGUGAGACAACACCUCGCAUGCGACCGCAGAGAGCCAGAACCGCUCUCUUUCAUCAGUAUCUCUGGAACUAAUGGCUCCACUUGAUGCGUCUCGUCAUAAUUUCUUAUCCCCUUGGAGAGGAGUGGGCCACCGGCAGGCCAACCGGUUUAGUAAUGGCCACUUCAUAUCUCUCUCUCUCCCCCCCAAGUGGCCCCCUCCCAGGGAUCUCUAGAAAAGAUUUUUGUUCCAUUUUUCUUGGCAAAACAAAAUCUCAAUAUAUAUAUAUGCUGCAUGCGACUCGUGCACCGAAAGUAUACAAUUUCUAAAGAAAGAAUAGUCGCGACUUUUCCGUGACUUAUGCAAUAUGCAUGCCGUAUCGGACCUAAAGCUUAAUUGGGUUGCUUACUCGAUCUCGGCCUGUCCCCCACCAAUUAUCCCGUCUGGCGCGCGCGCCUUGCAUGCAAAUUCGCAUGACAAAUUGAUCGAACAGAUGCACGUACGGUUCUCAGGCACAAAUUAAGUUGCCAGCUUUACGUCUAAGCAACCACUCAGUGAAUUAUGUGUCAUACUACCAUGUUUUUUGCAUGCUGAUUAAAUUCAGAGAGAAAAGCUAAAAACUAACUAAAUAAAGGAAACGCUGAUAUGCUUGGAGUAAGCCAGAGGCCCAUACGGAAAGCAUGCAUGUGACGAGCGCGUGCCAUACCACUUUCGCCAUGCCCCUCACUCACUCGCUCCAACGUCAAUUCAGCCAUCUUCUCCGGCCGGAGUGGUGCACAAACCAUGUAAAGUCCGGAAUUAAUUUUGUCUAGGGGAAACUUUUUCAGGAAUCCUCAGCUAGCUAAACUUUGUGCUGUUGCGGUCUCACAUGCCACUGUGCCAGGAUCGAACAAAUGCUCGCAUAAAUAAAUUCCAUCGAAGUGUAAAAUAUUUGCCACUAGCGCUACUAGGUUCAGCAAUAGAGUAAGGUAUAGCUCAGCCCAGCUGCGACUACAAGCUGGCACAUUUGACCGGCCCGAUAGGUAAAACAGCUGCCAGCUUGUUUGUUCUAACGCCGACGUCACGAUGCAUGUGUGUGGUCGCUUGAGUACAUAUCUGGGUUGCCCUGAAAGUGAGAUCACCAAGCUAGCGAAGACGAGAUCUUACAACCGGAAGACUAAAAUUACUAGAAAAAAACCCGUGCGUUGCUGCGGAACAAUAAAAAAUUAUACCAAAAUAUUAAAUUAAAUGUUGAUGUGUCACAGGAACACACACACACAUAUAUAUAUAGCGAUUAUGAUAUGUUUAUUUUCGUGAGCUAUACUCUGUUUUCUUUCUCUUUUUCACAUGUUUUAUUUCCAUACUAGUAAAAAGCCCGUGCUUUGCUGCGAAAGAAGACUUUUAAAAAAAACAUGCUAUAGGUUAAUUUUCAAAUAGUGGCGUCUUUUACAUUGCUGCUCUAUUUCCACGAGAAGUCAAGGCAGAGGCACCCUCUUCUCGGACUUCUCUUUCUCGUUUUCUCCCAUACCACCCGUUGGUCUCAAUUCUGCCUUUGGCUUCAUCAACUUACCAUUGCUCCACUCUACUUUGUGUUGAUCUUGAUUCUGGAUUCCAUCAUCUCUUAUAGCACAUUAAUUGUCUAGUAUGAUAUGAAUAGAAAUAGAAACAUUCUUACCGCAUUUAACAGAAACAAGCUGAGGCAAGCUGCUUAGGGUUUUUGCUCGGCACGUAUCUCCCAUGCAGACCAAGGCACCUGUGGCAUCCCCUUGAGUAUAAAAGGAGGACUAACGUCACCGGUCAAGGGGUUCCCGUCUUUAGCCCAGAAGUAGCAAGUAGUCACUUAGCAGAAAGGAAGAGAGCGCCCGGGGACUCCGCCUGCAACCUGUAAAGCACUUGUUUUUUGGCUAAUAAACACUCAGAAGCAGGACGUAGGGUUUUACACCUCCGCGUGGCCCGAACCUGGGUAAACAGGCUUGUGCAUUGCUACGCUCGUCAUUGGCCUCGCCAGUGAUCGCCGGAGCGAUCCCCAACGCCCCCUGCCGAACCGAAAAGGGGGUGCCACUGAUGUCUAAGCCCUGGGCUACAACAUCUGGGGCGCCAGGUAGGGGCAUCCCCGGUGUCUAAGCCCCGGGCUACGACAUCUGUAGCGAUCCCGCCAGCUGUCGUUGCUCGCCAGCAGCUCGGUGGGCGCGUGGAUGAACUCGUCGGGCUCGUCCACGCGAACCCAACACUAGUCCGCACGCCACUCCUUCUCGAUCUUCUUCUCCGUCCGCACGAUGAACUCCGAUUUCAUCUUGUCGCGGGCGUGGAACACCACCCCUGACGACAUCGCACCCGAUUGCUCGACGCGCGGGUAGAAGUAGUGGCGGAAUAACGCCACUGACGGCAUCACUCCGACAAACCCCUCGCAAAGAAAUUGGAAGACGGAAAGGAGGAAGAGAGAUGUGGGGUGGAGCUGCGCAACCCUGAGCUGGUACGCCGCCAUAAGAGCCUGGAGGAAGAAGGAGUAUGGAGGUACCAGCCCAGCGAGGAUGAAGCGGGCAAACACCCGAAAGUCGUUGUCCUGGUGGUCGCCGCCGGCUGGGAAAAUGAGCGUCUCGCCGUACUCGUUGAAUGAGGUGGCGACGGCGUGCCGAAUCUUGUCGACCCCCUCGCCGUUGUAGCCGGGCUUGAAGAAGGCCCGCUUGGCCCUCAACUCCCGGUUCCUCUGAUCCUUCUCCGAGAGGGGCUUCUUGGGGGCCUUCUCGCCCUUGUCGACCGCAGAGCUUUUGGAACCCUUCCCUCUCUUGAGGGCCGUAGGCGCCAUGAGGAAUGUGGGCGGAACAAGCUUCGGACAUUUAUUUAACAAAUGGGCUAGAUGGCGGCUCGGCUGGCUUGGGCUAGGGUUGCGAGGCUACUGCUUGGGCCGGAAGGUGGAGAUGGGCCAAGGGUAGAUGGGGUUGGUGGGCCUGAAGGGGGCUCGGGGUUGCUGCCCGGCGCUGGAGGGCAGCGGCGCACCGGGAGCAUAGGCGGGGGAGCGAGGCAGAGGGGAGGUUGAAGGCGCGGGAGCAAGGGGAGGCAGCGUCGGCGAGGUUAACGGCGAGAGCAGCACGCGAGGGUGCUGGGCUGGGACGGUGACUGGAACUUGGCGACAACGCUGGCAGAUUGCAGCAGCGAGGGAGAGGAGAAGAGGGCGUGACGAGUAAUGAAGGCAGGAGCGCCAGAGUGUGUGUGUGUGUGUGUGUGUGUGUGUGUGUGUGUGUGUGUGCGCGUGUGUGAGAGAGAGGGGGGGGGGAGGGAGGCGGCUGGACAGAGGAGAUCGGGAGGGAGAAAGGAGCUCGAGAGGAGAGAUGAAGGAGCACAUGGGAUACCGGGUAGGACCGGUUGCGUGGUUGGGUGGACGGGCAGGACAAGAAGAGGGGACGAGAGCAAUAGGGAUAGGGUUUGAGGAAGCCCGCAUCGGCUAGGGCUCAGGGGUUAGACGGAUGUUUUUCGGGACCGAGGAUGAACGGUGGCAUAUUGAGCGUAAUUUUAAUGAAGUGACGGGACCGAGGAUGUGCGGUGGCAUGGUAUCAUCACCACCAACUCCAAUUUAAUAUAUUGGUAUAGAUUUCUCCUUGUCCUGCUAUCCUAUUACUCAUAUUCCGUACUUUAUUUCUCAAAUCUCUUCUCCAAUUUCUUGCUCUCUCUCUGACUAUCCUCUCCAUCCAUCUUAAGUGCAAACUUCUCCUCUCCCUGUCCCGAUUCAUCCCGCCACCGAACAUCACGCCGCAAUGCGCGGCCACCCGCUUGUGCGCACCGCCUCUGCCCGUAGAUUCCCGCCGUCCGUCCACUCCCGCGUGCCGUCUGCUCCCACUUUCCGCCAGGUACGCCUCUGCGCCGCCCGCCUGCGCCCUCUAGCAACCUUGCCCGCCUGUUCGCCGCGCCCGCGCGCCGCCCAAACAUCGCGUCCAGCACCCAUGGCUCGCGGUGACGCGGUCCCUGCUGCCUUGCACGAGGCCACCGCCAUCCCGGCCUCAGGCUCAUCCCAUCACCGUCCAAGUCACGCGGUGAGCCACCGACAGCACGAGCCGGUGGAGGCGGUGGUCGGAGCGAGCGACGGAGCCGCGGGUCCGCAGCCGCCUUCCGCACACGGACGCCACCAACGCGCACGAGCUGGUGGAGGCGACCAAGAGCGGCGACGGGCGCGGGCGAGAUCCGAAGGGCGGCGGCGAGAUCCGGAUCAAGCAGGAGGUGGGGGUGAGAUUCAUAGGAGGAGGAGGAGCGAGAAGUGCUCUGUCGGUUUUUUUUUGGCGGUACGUGUUUUUUUCACGCUUAAAAGAUGACUGUGGGAGCCGGGAUUAAAAGACACGUGAGGACAGCGGUGACAGAUUCAUAAUUUCGGUGAAAUGACGUACCGCGACGCCCGUACCAUCACCACCAACUUUAAUUUAAUAUAUUGGUACAGACACAGAGUACUUUUACCAGUAAAAUUCAUUUUCGUUCCAAGGGAGCCGUCCGGCCGGAUAUUGGCGAUAUGGCUGACCGGGCCGACCCCAUUGUCUAUCUUAUCGGGGUUGGUGAUUGCAAGAAGCGUGGACCAAUCAGCUAGCAGUCCAGUCCCGACGGCGAAACCCAUCCAAGCUGCCAGCACGCAUACGUGGUCACGUCAGGUUGUGCGUAUACGUACGACUAGUCGACGGCGUCGUUAACGUUGGGGAUAGCUAGCUAGAGAGGCCGGAUCGAUGGAGAGCGACAGGGGACUCUGUCUGGCUUAAGCUCCUCCGAUCCUCUCGUGCGCGUGGAUCCAGAAACGGGCGAGUGCGACGGCCGAUCCACCGCUCAAAAUCAUUUAUACACGCUUCAAUUAAUUUAGUGACGGCCAAGACUGCUCGGCCGAUUUUUUUAAUUUUGCCGACUAGUAGCUGUCACGUGUUUAUGUCAAAUCGGAAACGGUAGUCAGACGGACUCCAUUUAGUUUUACUCCUUGGUCCUUUCCGUGAAACUACUAAUGAUGCACAGUUCAAUUUGUUUUUCGAAAAAAUAUUUACUACCAAUAUGUUUACUUUGUGACCACAGAAACACGGAUCAAAAGAGGUUUUUAACUGUGCCCUCGAAACAAGGAAAGACUAAUGAGCUUAAUUUCUUUCGGUAAGAUUAAAGGUAAAUAUGCCUUGGAAAAAAAUUAAAUUAAGGUGAAUACGGGAAAAGUGUUUGACAUGUGUGUUCGGAUUAUCUGAACUUAUUCGUGUCGGAGGAAGUAACUUAAUCGUCUGUACAGUGUCUCUAAUAAACGUACUGUACUUCGUAUGAAUUCUCUAUUCUGCCGUGAGUUGGGCGUGCACCAAACAUCACUGAUCGCUAGCUGCCCGGGAAUGGAGAAGUGUCACCAUCACGUAUGCUGUGGUCAUGGCCUAGGCAGUGAUCGGCCGGAGAUUGAUCGGGUAACUCAAAACAUGUUGUUUUCACGGAUACGUGUGGACACGAUGGUAUUAGAGCAAGGUUCAUAAGAGGUCAUCAAACUCUAAUCAUAUAGGUCAUAUUUUCUAAAAUAAUCUUUUAGAUCGUCCUUUGGAGUAUAUAUUUUUUUAAAUAUUUCUAGUCCACUUGAUUUGAAUCUAAAUCUACUUUGAGAAUUUUGAUGACAAUCUUCAAAGUUUCGGGAUAUAUGCAAAGACAUCCAAAUAGUUCGAGGAUCUCACGUAAUGCAGCAUCUCUUUUUAGGGAAAUGAAACGUAGUACUCUAUCCGUCUCAUUAAAUGCCGCAACUUUGAUUAGAUACGCACGUAUCUAGACGCGUUAUAAUGUGUAGAUACAUACAUAUCUACAAAUUUGCAACACUUAAUAUGGGAUGGAGUGAGAGUUAGUACCUGGUAAACUAUACAAUUAGUCUUUAAGCAUGUCCAGUAGUCCCCUCCUCCUUUUCUUCGAUUUUUUGCUACAAAUUUCUGGUUUUAGCUUUCAGAAAAUCUGAGGAGCAUAUGUUCUUUAUCUUAGCAUGCGACUAAUUUUCUUCUGUCCGAUCUAGCAGAUGGACAUUGUUUCUUUGUGCUCAUGCUCUUACUUGAUCGAGAUGGUACACGCUACAACAAUCGAGCGUACCCCGGUCCCCAAUAGCGAUUUCAAAGCUAAUUACUUCAAGGAAAAACUUCUAUUGAGGAGAUUAGUCAAGAAAUUACUUCAAGGAACAACUUCUAUUGAGGAGAUUAGUAGAACACUACAUGUAAGGCAUGUCCACAUUUUGUCAAAUCUUGCCUCAAGUGGGGCAGCUAAGUUAGGCUAGUGUUUAUUUGACAUCAACAAGUGUGACAUGGCUCACUUUUUUAGCAGUCUGCACCACAUGUCACACAUUCAUACUGUUACCAAAGUUUGCCUAACUUGUGCAAGCAAAUUCUGCACCACAUUUUUUAUGCCUCGCCACAAGCCCACAACUUAUCAACCCGUAGUCAGCCACACUCUCGCCAACAUCGGCAACACUGAUUUCCGCACUGCCGUCUGGAUCCUUUUUGUCAGGGACGACUGUAUUUCAGUUCCUAAUCAACAUACCUUUCUAAAAAAAUGGACGGAUUUAAGAGCAGAAGUUAUGAACGUUAUGACAUUAGCACUCGUUCUAUAGUUCACAGGAACAAAAUUGCGUCUGAAAAAGAAAAGAAUCAUUGCAAUCAGAUGGUGCAACAGAACGGAGAACGAGACAUCCAUCUGCUGAACUGAUAGAAACGGCGCAACAACCGACCGAAUCCACCCUGCAGCGGUACCAUGUACCAUGCAUCAUGCAUGUACUUUCAUGUGAUUUGUCUUUCCUGAUCAAUUGCGACAUGGUAAUGAAUAACAAUCAAUUGGAUAUUUCAAGAAUAAUAUAAUUGCCACACGCAAAAUCAUGAAGAAACUCACAACAACUUUUGUUUGAGCAGCCACAGAGAUCACUUCCGUGGCAGUAAACCAUAACAAGAACUAGGCAGACCAUUUUCGUCAAAAAAAACUAGGCAGACCACAACUGCCAUGGAUACCAUUCCAUCAAGAUUAUCCCAGAUCAUGCAUGUCAAAGAAAGAAUUAUAACAUAAUAACAAAUAAUGAUACAAUGUACCAGGGGGUAGAACUAAACAUAGCACAUUCUGUCUCUGUUCCACACUUCCAUUUACCGGACUGUAACUACAAAAAUCAGUGAGCAAGAUAAUAACCAACAUGAAUACAAAAUCAAUCGACUGCAUACUUGGGCUUAGUUUCCCAUAACACCUUCUGCUCCAGCUGGCCCUUUGCCCAUCCAGUACUUGUAAGCAUAAACUGAAGACACGACCAGGGCGGCCAGGGCGAUGUAGACGAUCAUGGUCGGCCCGAUUUUAGUAGGGCUCUUCUUCUGCUUGCUCUGUGCCAGUAGUGCUCUUGGCUUGAUCUUCGCCAUGUUUCACUUCGGACAAUGCCAAGAAAAUAACUAGAAUCAGCAUAGUUGCAUAGGAAUUUUCUGUAAAGCACUGCUAUGAUUUCGGCAUUUCGCUGAACAGUUAUAAAACAUAGAAGGAUUUCAAUUGUACAUCAAACGUAAGUAAAACUGGACUAUAAGCUUAUGAACCGCGGGACAUGCAAGAUCAAUCAGCCAGGCAGGCACCAGGUCGUACAAAAAACUUAUAAACAUGCUAUUAGGGUGAUAUGGCACAUUUGCAUCCUCCAUGCGUCAAAACAAUGUAGUACUUUCUUUCUUGAUAGGAAAUCAAAACAAUGUACUGGUAACAUUUAACAGUUAAACAAGCAAAAUCAGAGUUCAUGCCAGUAGAUCCAUUCGUUAGGUUUAUUAGGCGAAGGAAUUAUUGAAAAGAAAGUACAGAAACUGAUGUUGUCAGGUCGAUUGCAGUUGCAGGUGUCAUCUGCUCCGGCUUAAAAUCAAAAUAAUAGAAGAGCCUGGUAGUAUUCAGAUCAGGGUCAUGGAAGUCCAUGCCUGAAUGGAAGCCAUGAGUGAUGGGUCCUGCACUUGAGGAACAGGGAUCGAAAACAGUGGCACGAAUUUCGGAGUUCGUCCAUCCAUGUCUCGAGCUUCGUUGUCUGAAGAACCCCACUCUUUUUGCAACGGCAGUACAAUUACACGCAGAAAUCGACAUUACUCACUGAAACCUAGACGGAAAACCGGGAUCUACCGCGGACAAUUAAGUAGCCGGAGGCGAUCCACUAGAACAAUUCGAGAUCCAGAAUUGCUCCACAGCAGCCGGAACCGAAAUAUUCAUUUGGCCGUGGCAGAAGGAAUCGGCGAUAGCAAGGAGAGUGCGGUCUCGGGAAUACCUUGAUCUCUGCACCGGCCGGGGAGUUCUCGCGAUCUGCUGCCGCGCUGAGGAGAUGGAGGUGGCGUCGGAGCGAUCUCGAGAGAGAGGGGAGUCCAGGCGAGGAUGACGAGGAUGCAAGCAAGGCUGUGCUGCGUCGUCUUUUGAAGGGGAAAAAAUAGGAAGGGGAGGAGAGCGUGGCCGGGGGUGUAGUUUGGCGCGGCAGGCAAGGGCACUACGGGAAACCAAAUUUUGAGGCGUGAAUGUCUGCACGUUACACGGGAUGUUUUUGACGACAAGAAGAAAAAUAUUAGUGCGCCCGCGCAAACCACACCAAAUAUUCCCUUAUUUUGACGUCGUCAAGAACUGUAUGCUACUGGCAAUCACGUCUAUCAGGACAUGCAAAUCGAUCUCGUCAAUCAGGACAAUUCCAAAAUUUGCCGUCCUGAUUAGUCAUAGCUAUCACGCCGCCGCGAUCCUCUCCUCGUCGUCGAACGUGCUGUGUUCCGCCUGCGUCACAAGUUCAAACAUGAAGCAUGUCAUCGCCCCCCAUCGUCUUCUCCUGCGAGCGUGUCGACGUGGUGCGAUGGCUUGCACGAUGACUCCGGCGACAUGGAAGGCUUCGGUUCAGAAGAGUGGGCCCAACGGGGUCGGACGACUUCGAGAUUUCGCUGUCCUCGAAUAUCGUCUUGUACCCAGAGUCUGAUGAUUUUGUAUGUCUUGCGGGUACUAAUUUUCGGUGUCUUGUUCUCGGAAAAAAACCCCCACUAAUUUUGGGGUUUGGAUCGGGCUGUGGAUCUGCACUAGAAGUUCAUGCCCGAUUCAUGCUGGUAGACAUGUGUUGCUGGAAUGAUAAAAUGAUUCCAAAACUCAUAAUUGUGGAUCUCUAAUUAAUUGCUGUUGGGUUAUUGAUCUUCCACAAUGUCAAGGUGAAUUUCCAGCACGCACGGAGUACAACUCAAGGUGAAUUUCGGCCACAAUGUUACCUUGCACCAUACGUGCUGCAUAGUGCAGCCAAGCGCGCACGCCUCUACGAAGCAAAUCAAGACAUCAAGCAAUGGUGAUUGAUUGUGUUGUGUGUGGAACUCGCCGCGGAGGCGAGGUAAUUGCAAGCGUCGUCCAGGAGUUCUAUCUUCCGAUGGCAUGGGCACGUGCUAUAUCCAGAAGCAAAGCAAGCAGUAUUAUUAACUGAGUGUGAAUCUAUAAGGUCACAACAAUUUCACAACCCACGUCCUAAUUUACUUACAAAUUUGGUCAAAUUUUAAGAAAUUUGACUUAGACAAGACUAGAGCAUGUUAUAUUUGGUUUAGCUCUCUUUCAAACAAACAAAUAUUGGAGUAACUAGGUUUGCACCCAAAUUUUCACCUUACAAAAAGAAGAGAAGGAAUACAUCGAUCGCAUAUUUCCACCCAUCCAAACUAAUGAAACUACUAUGCAGGAGCACGGUGAUUCGCACGUCAUUCAUUUCUUGAUCAAGUCGGCGGUGAAGGUGACGCCGGUGGACGGCAGCCACGCGAUCCCAUCGAUGAACCGCCGCACGGUGAAUCGGCCGGCCCACGCCGGGUCAAAGAUCACGUGGUACCCAGGCCACCUGACCCUCCCGGCGACCCCGGCCCCGGGCCCGAAGUUCCUGUACUCCCCAUAGAACACCGUCCCCAGCCCGGCAUUCCCGGCCCACUCCAACCACCCUUGCGCGCGCACGCCGGGGCCCAGGUAGGAUUCCAUGACGACCACCCGCGAGAAGGGCCUCCAGGGCCGGCCCAGGUAGGUCGGGUGCUGGGCCUGCACGACGCAGUUGUGGAGCGCGAACCCCGUGCUCUGGUUCGGGUCCUUGCGGCCCUGCGCCGUGACCGUGCCCGCCGUCUGGCCCGGGGCCAGCGGCAGCGUGGCGAGCAGCGUCCGCUGGAUGACCGCCGCGGCGUUGCCGAAGACGAAGUCGACGGUGCCGGAGACGCGGCAGUCGCGGUAGAACUGGCGGAGCGAGUGCGCGUAGAGCGUGUCCUGGUGGCCCUCGAGUGCCACGCGGUAGAAGGCGGACCGGUCCGAGUCCACCCGCAGCGCCACCGCCUGCCGCGCCCCCGGCCCCGCCGUGUUCCGGAUCGUCAGGUCCCGCGCCAGGAACCCCGCGCCCGACACCGCUGCACGCAAAGCAAAAAUACCAGAUUUUGUCACAAGUUGCACGUGCAUCUCGCUUGGAAUUUACUCUCGGCACCGCGCGGUUCUUUUACGUACCGACGGUGGCGCUGCGGAAGGUGGUCCAGCCGGAAGAGAAGCUGCGGCUGCCGGUGAUGACGGUCUCGCCCAUGCCCUCGCCGACGAGCGCCAGGUUGGUCUUCUUCUUGGUCACGUCCACGUUCUCGUGGUACACGCCGCGCUUCACGUAGAUGACGUACCUGCGUCGGCUGUGGCUCGGCGCGCGCGCCACGGCCUCGCCCACGGUCCGGUACCUGCCGCUCCCGUCCUGCGCCACAACGACAUCCACCCGCAUCGCCUUCUUCUUCUUCCCGCUAGACCCGCCGUGGGCGCGCGCCAGCUCCUCGUCGACGCUGUCCGUCACCCACGGCGGCAGCUCAUCAGCCGUGCUGUUCUUGCCGUGUUGGUGCAGAGGCAUGAUGCUGCGGAGCCGCUGGUGCAUGGCGAGGAGGUUGCCGACGAGCUGCGUGAGCCGCGCCACGGACGCCUCGACGGGGCGCAGCAGGCGGCCGUCCUUGGUGCCGUGGAAGCCCUGCACGCAGGUGUCCUGGUUGCCCAGCGCCGCGCUCAGCCACGCGUGCAGGCUCUCCUCGGCGGCCAUCGAUGCCGCCGAACGGGCACGCUCGUGCUGCUCCUUCUCUUCCGUCUCCGCGUCGACGACGGAGGCGUCGUCGGCCAUGGCGUCGAGCGACCACCCGAGCUCGUCCACGGAGUAACCCAGCAGCUCCACGCAGUCGCGCACGGCCAUCUCCUCGCGCGCGUGGUUGGACAGCGACGCCAGCCCGGCCACGGCCUCCGCGGCGCCCACGGCCUCGCCGAGCGUGUCGCGGAGCGCGGCGCGCAGGACCGGCACGGGCCCACUGCCUGCGCCGCCGCGCGCCGUAUCGAGGCGCGACACGCAGCCCUGCUCGCCCCCGGACGAGGAGGAGACGUUGAAGCACGCCUGGCGAAGCAGCGCGGCCUCGAAGGCCUCGGCCUCGCCCGGGCCGCGGAACGUGUACAGCCCGGAGAACGCCGCGGCGCCAUCGCUGCCGCGGGCAACAAGCUGGAGCGCCAGCAGCAGCACUACCAGCACUAGGCAGCAGGUGUCUUUACUGCCACGUGUCGUGAACGACGCCAUUGAUUGAUAGAGGGGGCGAAGUGCAUCGCCAUGGCCAAGGGACGUGCGUAUAUAGAUGGAUGCGCUCAGUGUAAGUGAUCUUAUCUGUCUUGGCGCAACCGGAGGCAAGGUAUAGUUUCUCGUGGAAGAAAGGUGUGCGAGGAUACAGGUCUUUAUGAACUACAGUAAUAUUCUAACUACUGUACACGGUCUUGAGGAAAAAGUGUGUUUCGAGCCGAAUGAUUGGCUCCGUUACACAGAUUAAUUAAGCCAUAGAGUGCAUUCGCCCCUUUUCGAUGGAACACACUUCACUGCGUAACAUGUGUAAGUUGAUCAUAAUAUAUUCCGAUUAGGCCGGCUCGGUGUUGCGAGUGUCGGCAGAUACUUGGAAAACUGCUUGGAAGCAAGCAAAUAUGCAACGCGAAGACUUCUCCAAAUUGGGGUGAUGACUCGAGCAUGCAGAUUGUGCCAUGCUUCUCGUGCAAUUUAUCGUAGUCGCGGCAGCUGCACCGGCGCUGGACGCACGGACACUCAAGGUGGUGGAUUCGCGUGUUUUGCUUGGCGAUGCAGGCUCUUCGAGGUUCGUUUUGUUAGUCGGUUAUGAUUCCUAGGACCUUAUGCUGUAAAAAAAAACUUAUUAGCACCAAAAUUAAAAGUGUUUGAUUAGAAAUAUUCCAUGAACUCAACUUCACUAGAGUACUAGUUUUACCCAUGUUCAAAGCCUUGAUCCAUAAAUCAAGAAAAAAAAGAGAGUUUUCAGUUAAUCAACUAAAAAUUCAUGAAAAAGUGUUACAACAAGCUUCAAAGUCGUCAUAAAACAUGGCAACACCUCGAACACCACUAGCCAACCUUGCUACCGGCACACAAUCUAUAUAUCAUUGUCAUGACAAAUCAUCACAUUCAAGCACAUGCUAAACAACCGGUCACUCGCGCCGACAACCAGCAAAUAUGAUUUCGAUGACAAGUGAAAGGGAGUAUGCAAGGCUUGUGUCCCACAACACCACCACAACGAAGAAGGAAGACACGGAGGCACAAUUGACACGUCGAAAGUCAGCCGUGCCCCAAGCAUAAAUUGUUUACCGUCAUUGUUGCCACACAAUUUAGCACCGUAAUAUGCCCGAGGAAGUCGCCUUGGCACCUCGGCGGCAAGUCAUGGCCUUGUCUCAUAAUCUGUCUCCAUGAUUUGACCAGCCAUCCAAACCCAUCAAUUACCAAAACUGAACUAAUUACAAAAGUAAUCAUAUUAACAUCACGUCAUGACUAUUAAUAAAAUUUCACCAACUAUGGAAAUCCUCGAUUAAUUACAAAUAAAUCCAGUAAAUUCAAAUUAGAGAUAAGUUUUCAUUAUUAGUCGAUACAUGCAUUGCACGGACACAAUGACUAAUGAAAUAGUGUGAGUGAGUCCUUUCAAUCUACAAAUCAAACGGCGACGCAUGAAUAUUUUCCAGGAAUUCUAAUUUUCCGGAUUUUGUAUGCAAUUUAUCCUUGAGUAAAUUUCGCAAAACCACAGUUUUUGGGAUAGUUGUCUCGCUGAAUCACAGUUAACGAAAAACCUUUUGCAGAACCACACUUUUUGAGUCAAGUUGUCUGAAACAAGGUGGUUUCGCGGUUUUACUUGAUUUUUUUACCCGUGGGGCCCACCUGUCAAACGCCACGCCGGCCCCGAAAACUUGCAGCAAUGAGAAGAGGGCUGGGGCUUUAAUCACGGGCUAACGGGUCAGGUCGGGUUGGGGCUGACGUGGCGUACAACAGGUGGACCCACAUGUAAGAAAUCAAGCAAAACCUUCAAAAGACUCGUUUUCGGGCUGACUGAGACAACUUGACUCAAAAUGUGUGGUUUUGUGAAUGGUUUUCCGUUAACUAUGGUUUAACGACACGACUGACACAAAAACCGUGGUUUUGUGAAAUUUACUUUCUCUUUUUUAGAAUAACCUGUAACUUUAUUCAAUCAUAAGAAACAUUACAGGUACAAUGCUUUGGAUCAUAAACUCUAGAAACUAUAAGGUAACUCCUAUAAUUAAGAACAAUGAAAUCUCUUAAAGACAUCUUCUCCGUGAUAUCAUACUUUGCAACAUGAAAUUUUGCUGAGGCUUCAACAUAGAGACUGCAAUCAGACUGUAGCAGCAACAUCGUUACUGGUAUCCAUGCACGAACUUUACUACCUUUGAAGGUUUCGAAAAGCCCCUUGAGUCGCUCAUCAAAAAAGAUGAGAAGCCUUGAGAGUUGAACGUACUUGGACCGGGGAUGAUCCCCUUAACGUGUAGGUCGUCGAACCACAAGAUCUUCAUCAGAACGCCAGAGAAGUAAUUCAAAAUUACAAAAGAUAAAACAACAAAAGCACCAUGACACACUAACAAAAACUCAAAGAUACGUAUAAAUGGAUCUGCGAGUACACAAACCCAAGAUCCACAAGAUCGGGUAUACUAAACUCACGGGGAUUAAAAAUCUCUGACUCCCCAGCAACGCCCAUUGAGGCACCACCACAGCAAAGGAAAAACUAGAGUACCUUUAUUCACGACGGCAUCAUAACCUUCGCCAUUGCGUUGCCGAUCAGAACCAAACAAUUGAAAUAGGCAAACACUUCUGUAUACUCUUAGGAGGAACUAAGGGGGACCUCGCAACGCCAAGCCGGCGGCCGGAGCGAGGGAAACACUAAAUCUUCAACCAUGACGGCUAGGGCAGAGCCCUCAUGGAAAACCUACGAGAUUGGAAGAUGGAAAACACCGAUUUGUGAAAUUUACUUUUUUUUAAGCGAAAGACACGGCUUUAUUAAUUCAAAAAUAUGGGUACAAUAUUGUUCUAGGGCUUAUCAAGCCACACAUGCCUGCCAUGCUGGAGCGAUAAAGAGCUCCUAACUAAACUAUGGGAAGCAUCACUAAAAAAUUAUUCAUGCUGGGCCAGUUAUUUGCUUUUGGUUCUGACUUCUUGGGCCAGGGUGGCGUGGCCUCCCUGCCCUUGCUUUAUUUUCAGCUCCUCUAUUCAAUCCUCAAUUGUUUCCUGUGCCGCACCAUGGCCUCCCAUGAUCUGCUGCCGCCGCUGAAGAAGAAGAAAUCCCCAACACUCGCGCCCACCACCAUUAGCAACCUCAGCAGCGACAUCCUUUGAGAUAUUCCUCCGCCUCCCCUCACAUGCAGCUCCUUCCUCGAUGCCGUCCGUUCGUCACCCUCCUUCUGCAGUCGCUUCCGCGUGCUCCAUUCACCUCCCCUACUCGGUUUCUUCAUCGAUACCACUGAAAAAGCUACACCUGACUUCUCUGCCCUCUGCCGGCAAUCCGAUCUGGACCUCGCGGCUGCCAUCCGCGGCACCGAUUUUUUUCCUCACCCGGCUACCGGACGACGACAAGGACGCCGUGCCCAAUUGGUCAAUUAGCGAUUGCCGCGAUGGAUGCGUCCUUCUCGUCAAUUGGAGCACAAAACAGAUGGCUGCCUACAAUCCCCUCACACGGGCCCUGGAUCUCUUCCCCACACCGCCCGACCAGCUUUGUGCUGGUGACCUGUAUGUUGAUUUCCAGAGACUCUCCUACGAAGAGGACCGUGGUUCGUUCUGCAUUCUGUGCAUCUGUCAACAGGUGUGGGGAGCGUGCGCCGUUGUCUUUGCAUCACACGCCAGGGAGUGGAAGGUUUUCCCAUGGUAUGUUGAUGACAAGGUCUGGCUUCAGAGUGGUACAUUGUUGAAUGGUUUUCUCUAUUGGACAGUUAAAGGCCGUGACGAUGGAAUUCUCUCAAAUUGAUCUGCCAUCCGUGAUUGAUCAUGGGCAAGAAGCGUUAGGGGUUUGUGAGACCAAGUAUUGAAAGCUCUGUAUGGUCCAAGUAAUUGUAUUGACUCUGGUUGUUUGGGUCUGGAGAGCUGAUGAACAAGGUGUCAAUAGAUGGAUACUGGACUAUGGAUUUCUGUUGAAGAAGAUUGUUGAGGCGGCUCAGUGUUCACUAGACGAUUAUGAUGAAGUGAAGAUUGUGGCAUUGUCAAUGGCUAUGUCUACUUGUCGACUUACCACUACCAGGUGACAAGUUCUUCCUGCUGGCUACUAUCUGUUUGCUUGGAAACAUCAGAGCUGGAUAAGCUCUGUCCUACUCGCGUUCGCCCUGGUGUUUCAUAUCCAUACAUCAUGGCGUGGCCUCCUUCACUGGUACGCAAUAAGGUGAACCCUCAACUUAACGAUGCUUGACUAGUAGGACUAAGAAAACUGUAACCAAGAAGUCAUAUUGUUGUUCUUUAACUUUAGUUAUUAAUAACUGAUGGCAUGCCAUGGUUCUAUAGAUGUAGUCCUAGUUAGAUUUACUCAUCUUUAGAAUAAAUCAAGAUAUCAAGGUGUUGUGGAAAUUGCAAGUCUUUUGUGUGUCAUAUUGAGCAUUUGAGCAUACUCCCUGCAUAUUGUAAGUGUCACAGGUUUAUGUGAAUUCUCAGCAUAAACUAAAAGGAUAACUAAUAUUUCUCGACCAAGAGCACUGGGCCACAGUUGCUAUUAUUCUGAAAGAAACUGAAUCAAAGUUUUGAACUGUUGAAUUAUAUGAAGCCAGCAAAAGACAGGAAGAAAAGAAAUAUGCAAUGCAUAUCAUGUAAGAGUUUCAUAAGUUCCAUAUAUCCGAAUAAGUAGAGUAACUUGAUCUGGCCCAUAGUUUCUUGCCAUUCGAUCCAAUGUUAUCGUCAUCCCAGCUUUGCAAUCCGUUCUUCUUUCAGCUCUAAAACGUUUUGGCUGAUUUUCCAAUGUUUGCCUUUUUCUCCGAAGGCCCUCAUUGGAACAAACAAAUCUACAUGAAGUCGUUUCACCAUCAAACUUGCUAACAUUUUUAUUUCUUUUUCUCACAUAAAACCCUGCACGACCCCCAUAGGCAACCCAAAACACCCAAGCUUCGUCUGGAUUUCUGAACCUCAUACCGACUUGGGUAUCCGUUUGUCAAUUUCUUCCAUUGCAAAACACUUGGGAGUGCAGAACACUCACAAUUGCAUAGCACAGCAAUCAAAUUCUGCAAAAUUGCGCACCACAACAUCCCAAUCAUCAAGAAUUUGCUCAAAUAGGCACACAUAAACAAAGUGCAUGACACAGCACCAAAAUCAGCAAACUAGGAAGAUGGUACCUUCUGUUCUUGGAGUCCUCCGACGCCCGGAGAUCGCUGGGCACUGUGGCGCAGGAGGCCGUCAGAGCGGGAAGGAGAGAGUCGCAGCGGGGGCGGAGGCGGAGGAGGCCGUCGCAGCGGAGGCGGCCGUCGGAGCAAGGGCGGAGGCGGCCGUCGCAGUCGGAGCGGGGCGGAGGCGGCCGUCGCAGCGGGGGUGGAGGCGGAGGACCGAGUGGCGGCUUGCUCUCCUCCCUCUCCCGCGCGGCGCAGCGGCGGCGGCGGCGGCGACGACGGGAGAGCGCGCGCGGGAGGCGACGUUUGGCGUGAGAAGCCGAGAACUCCCGCGAUGGAGUUUUUUCGACUGUGCAUUCGUUGACUCGGUAAAACAUGAGGUGCUCUGUUUCAAUUUCUGCCGGCCGGCCGAUUUAAAUGGGCGGUGGAUGCUGGCCGCGAGGCAACCCGUGCCUAGACAGAGCCAAGGUGCUGGAUCUCAGUCCGUCCGGUAGUCCCUGCCCUUGCUUUAUUCCAGCUCCUCAAUCUUCAACCAUUUUCUGUGCCGCAUCAUGGCCUCCCACGAACUGCCGCCACCGCCGAUGAAGAAAUCCCCAGCACUCGCCCCCACCACCAUUAGCGACCUCAGCGGCGACAUCCUAUGUGAGAUAUUCCUCCGCCUCCCCUCGCUCCCUAGCCUCAUCCGGGCCGCGCUCACUUGCAGCUCCUUCCUCGAUGCCGUCCGUUCGUCCCCCUCCUUCCGCCGUUGCUUCCGCGCGCUCCAUCCGCCUCCCCUGCUCGGUCUCUUCAUCGAUAUGUACGAAAGCGCCAUACCUGCCUUCUCGCCCCUCCGCCGCCGCUCCGAUGCAGACCUCGCCGCCGCCAUCCGUGGCGCCGAUUUCUUCCUCACCGGCCUACCGGACGAUGACAAGGACGCCGUACCCAAUUGGUCAAUUAUCGAUUGCCGUGAUGGAUGCGUCCUUCUCGUCAACUGGAGCACGGAACAGAUGGCCGCCUACAAUCCCCUCACACGGGCUCUGGAUCUCUUCCCCACGCCGCCCGCCCAGCUCUGCGAUGGUGACCUGUAUCUUGAGUUCCACAUCCUCUCCUACCAAGAGGACCGUGGGUCGUUCCGCAUUCUGUGCGUCUGUGAAGAGCAGUGGGGGGCGUGCGUCGUUGUCUUCUCAUCGGACGCCAGGGAGUGGCAGAUUUUCCCGUGGUAUGACGAUGACAUGGGCUGGCAUCACACUGGUAGGUGAAUGGUUUCGUCUAUUGGACAGAUGAAAGCCGAGACCAUGCACGUGUGCUGGACAUUGCAACACUGGAAUUCUCUCAAAUCGAUCUGCCGCAGCUGGUUUUUGAAGGGCAAGACGCGUUUAGGGUUGGUGAGGCCAAGAACGGAAAUCUCUGUAUGACCUCUUUGGUUCAAUUGAAUUUGUUUGUUUGGCUCUGGAGAGCUAAUGACCAAGGUGUUGAGACAUGGAUGCUGGACAAUGCAUUUGAAUUGAAGAAGAUUGCUGAGGCGGCCAAGUGUUCACUAGAGGAUAACAGUGCACUGAAGGUUGUGGCCAUUGUCGAUGGCUGUGUUUACUUGUCUACUUACCACGAGACACGCUAUGAUUCUCCUUGCUGUUACUAUCCUUCUGCUUGGAAACUUCGGAGCUGAAUAAGCUCUGUCCUACGCGCUUUCACCCGGUGUUUCAUAUCCCUACAUCAUGGCUUGGCCUCCUUCACUGGUACGCACCAAGGUGAACCCUCGACUUAACGGUGCUUGAAUAUGAGGGAAGAAGAAAAGUAUGACCAAGAAGUUAUAUACUCUAUGCCAUGAUUCUGUAGAUGUAAUCCUGGUUAGAUGUACUCAUCUUUAGAAUAAAUCAAGAUGCCAAGGUGUUGUGGGAAUUGCAAGUCAUUUUUGUGUGUCAUAUUGAGCAUAUUAAUAUUCAUUCUUCCAUUCCCUGCAUAUUGCAAGUAUCAAAAGACUUGCGGAUUUUCAGCAUAAACUAAAUGGAGUAACAGAUAUUUCUAGACCAAAGAGCACUAGGCCUCAGUUGCUAUUAUUCUGAAUGAAACUGAAUCGAAGUUUUAAACUGUUGAAUUAUUCGAAUCCAGCAAAAGAGACAAAGAAAAGAAAUACACGUAAGAGUUUCACAAGUUUCAUAUAUCCGAAUAAGUAGAGUAACGUGAUCUGGCCCAUUGGCUUCUCUUUGCCAUCGUUCUACAGCUUCCAGACAAAGAUUACUGAAGAUCAAUUUGCAUCAACCAUACUGUAACAGUUAGACCAGAAAUGAGCUUUUUCUUUGUCACUGUUUCUCUUGAUCACACGGGUGCAUUAAUAGGAACUGCAAAAGAGUUCCUCAGCACCACCGAAAUUACAGUGUUCAUACCUGGGCAUUAUCUUAUUUACGAUUUUUCAGAUUAUUGCCAGAUAAGAUGCUAUCAUGCAUAGAUAACUUAUAUAAUUGUUUAAGGUAACUAGGUCCCUGCAAGUUCUUGAAUGAGACUUUUUUUUCCCUAGAAUACAUUCAAGCGGAUGUAUCAUAUAUUGAAUGAGACUAAUGUGAGAGGUUAUCUCGUAGUGUCCAUGAUUCUUGAAUGAAAAGUUCAGGUGAAGACAUUGGAGAUUGUUGUAUCUGUUUGUUCUAGGCUACAACAUUAUUUCAAGGAAGCCUGCUAAAAAAAUCUAUUGCCCUCGCUUUCUUUGCCUGCUAGUGCUGCAGAACGAUUUUCCCCCUCUUUAUAGAUUGUGUAACUUUGCUUGAUACCAUUGAAGAAGGUGAUCUUAGAUAUGCAAGCUCAAUACUUGUUGUCAAGAUGCUCAGCAGCAUUGCUAGUACUGUCUGGGCAAAAGCCGACCCCGAGUUCAUCGUAAGCACAUAUGUAUUGGCAAAAAAAAUAAUGCACAAGUUUCUUCACCUCAAACAUAAUAGAUAGCCAAGGAAAUAUGAUGGUGCAGAUUCAUGUCAAAAGGUCUUGCUCAAUCAGUUCUGUAGUUCAACACACAUCAUAUCUGCAGGCAGUUCGACGAUUUGGUCGGCACCGGUGGGAUGGACCUCGGGCAUGUCAGAACUCAGAACCGAAGCGAAGUCGUCUCUCAGAAAGGCACGGGACAUGUCAAAAGGGAUUGAGCACCGGAGUGUUGGCAACCGCCACCUAUUCCAGGAUGACAUUGCCACUGAAGUCACUCUUUUUUUUGCCCAGGUCCGCCAUAGCCAGUCUAGUGUGCAGAUGCAAGAUGAGAACCAGAGAAGAGAAAAACGGAGCAAUUAUCGCAGGACUCACCAAAAGACACGAUCGACUAGGAAGAUGAUACUCCCUCUGUUCCAAAAAGAUUGGCACAGGAGGGAGUACCUUAUUUUCUGAUUAAUGACGCGGCAAUAGAUUAGAUACAGCAAAUCCGUUUUGCACUGGGACAUAAAUUAAUAACCCACUAGUAUCACACCUUAAAUUAACCCACAUAGAACACCGUUUUUCUAUGUAGGGGGUGUAAAAAUCUUAGCCGGUUUGCAAAAUAUAAGGCGCGCAGCGUCUUACCCGUCCACGCGCCCAGCGCGACCUGAAAAAUCACAGCAGGCAGUUUCCUAAUGGUUGCAUGCAUGCAUUAGAUUCACUUCUGCUGAGUAUUGAACGGUGCGAUUUUUUUUCUUUCAAAGUUCCAUGCGGCUCUCUGCUGCUGGUCAAAGGCAGUGAUCAAUGCAAAUAUAGCAGUUUUUGUCGAGGUUCUCCACCGACAACAAUGCUCGGUUAAAGCUAGAUCACAAGAUUUGAUUCUGGAAUUUGUAACAAAUAGUGCAAUAUUUUUAGUAUUUUUGUUUUACUUCACAAGCAGACAUCAAAGACAGGGCAGAUCUACAUUGACAAAUAACAGGGACAGCAAGUAAUCUCGCGAGCUAACAAAUAAGACAAGGAUAGAAGCAAAUUGUUUAGGUAUGGGAAAGAGUACAUAACAGGGCACAGACAAGUAUACUAUCACAGAAAUUUAAACCACAAUCACUAGUACAUAUUACACACAAUUCUCAGGAGAAAAGACUCAGUAGUUAACAAGAUCUCACACUGACAUUUAAACAAACAAGUUGCAGGUGCUCAAAAUCAGCACAAGUUCUCUCAAUUCAGUUCACACAAACAGCAAGCAACAGGGGGAAAAGGGAGAGAGAUUUAGAUGGGGAUUAACUCAGGAGAUGGGGCAGCAAGGAGUUGAGGAAGGGAAGAGGGUUGCAGUGGCGCUCGUGCUUGCCGGAGGUGCUUGUUCUUCAGUUGCUGCAGCAGCUUGAGGGUACGAGGAGGAGCAGCAGCUUGGAGACGAGGAGGAGCAGUAGUAGUGGAUCGGGAAGGGGCAGCAGCUACUUCGUCGGAGGCGCGCCGCCACGCUGGCCUGGCCGCGGCGGCGGCCGGUGGUGGAGAAGGAGGUCAGGGGAAGGAGAAGUGCCAGGCACCAAGGGGAUCGAGGGCAGAACUAGGGAUUUAAUCCCUUUGGCAAUUUUUGCAUCCAAGCCCUUCUCUUCUCUUCUUCUUUCGCAAGUUGGUCUUUUUUUUCUUCACUUCAGCCCUUUCUUUCUUCUUUCCUUAUGCUCAGGUCCUUCGGUGUAUAGGUGCAUCAGCAGCUCGUCCAAAAUGAGAAGAGUAUGUGCAUUUUCGCACUUAACUGCAAAAGAGAAGCG
rnacentral:lncRNA from 1 species